rnacentral:lncRNA from 1 species
GAUGUAAGAAAAAUUACCAACUUGACCCUUAGCCCGAGUAUCAUAUUUGGUUAUUUACUAAAAUCCCCCUUUGGAGGAGAAGGAUGGAUUGUUAGUGUGGAUGAUUUAGAAGAUAUAAUCAGAGGACAUGUAUGGUUAGGUUCCAUUUGUAUACUUGGUGGAAUCUGGCAUAUCUUAACCAAACCCUUCGCAUGGGCUCGACGCACACUUGUAUGGUCUGGAGAGGCUUACAAGGAUGGAUUCUUAUAAUUUAAUCCAUAACAAUUUUCGCAUUGAACCCACAAAUGCCUGUACUUUUGAGUUACCUCGAGAUCAUUAGAACUUUCUCUUAAACCCUCACAGGUACCCUAAGGCGAUGAGAGUUGAGACAAAAUAAAAUAGCCUCUUUGGUGAAAAGCCUCACGGACACCGUGAAGCGAAGGUAAGGCAAGAAGCAACACUCAUAAAGGGGUUGUUGGUGGAAAUCUGCUCAUGAACACUGUAAGUCAAGAAAAGCUAGGAUUUGGUUGAAGGAAUCGGGUUAGAAAUGGUUUCAACAACAAAAGCAUGGAAACAGAAGGUCGGUCAUUGGGACAGACUGGGUUGACUAGGCCGAAGUGCAUGUCAUGAUCAUGAAAAGCAUCUGUUCUUCCUCAGAUAAGUUUUCUUUCUCUUCUUUUCAACAGUCAAUGAAUCUGGAAUUCUUUACCCUAAAUACCGUUCGAGUCAUUGCAUUUUAUUUUUCUUUCGAGUCUCUAAAGUCUUUUGUUUAAGCAAACGAGAGGAAUUUCAAAGACUAUUAUUAGCUCCUGAAGGACCAAACGCAUGACACCCAAAAGUGUAACAAAGAUAAUGAAUGCGGAAUAGCAAGAGGAUGGAUUCAUAAAAACUGCAAUUGAUGGAAGAGACAAGAGUCGUCAAAGUGAAGGAGUACCACACAAAAACGGGCAUGCAAAGUAAAACCACAAAGGUUCUAGGGGUCAACCGAGCAUCAUAAAUGUACCGAGUAAUCUCAGGGAGAGGUGUAAGGAUUUUAGUGAAGGCUCGAAAAUGUAAACACCAAGAUGAGGAACAAAACAAAGCCUCAAGGGUCAGAGGCUCAGCCAAGCAUAAAACCCAAACUCAGUAGUCGUCGGAGAAGGGUAUAAGGCUUCUGGCAAAAGAGGCAAAAGCGCAACACAAAGAGGGAAAAGGUCAUGAGGGUUGACCUAACAUGAUAUAUCAACUCAUCAAUCGUCAGAAAGGGGCAUAAAUAAUUCUGGAAAAAGUGUCAGAAGUGCAACACAAAGUGGGGAGCAAAGUAAAGAGACAAAGGGAAAAGGUCAACCAAACAUCAUAGACAGACCGGGUGAUUUCAAGAAAUGGUGCAAAGAUUUUGGAAAAGGAGCAGAAAUGUAACACAAAGAUGAAGAACAAAGUGAAUCCACAAGUUUCAGAGGGUUGGACAAAGCAUAAUACAUUAAUUCAUCAAUCAUCGGGGUAAGACAUAAAGAAUUCCGACAAAGAAUUAUAAAUGUAAAACAAUGAUGGGGAGAAAGUAAAGCGUAAAGGUUUCGAGGGGUCAGCUGAGCAGUUCAAUGGAACACAACGGAACACGAUAGUGGGGAGGCCGUUUCUAACAAGAAUGCCACAAGCUAACCACCACUCUUCAAAUUGACUAGUUUUCUUUGAUUAACACAGGGGCAGAAAAUUCCAGAAGAGCCUAAGGGAGGCCGCCCACAGGAGAGGACAAGCACAUGGCAGGUAUGAUCAAAACCUCAAGGCCCAUCUGAAAAUGGGACCCAGUUCAAACUCAAAAAGAACAUAGUCCAUCAUAAAUAUCCUUCCCAGCAAAGAGCACAAUGGGACAAACAUUAAUUAGCAAACCCCAAUAGAAACAACCAAUGGUUAAAAGAGGUAUGGAAGUUGAGAUGGAACGCGGUUGUCAUAAGUAUCCUCCCUAGCAAAGAGCACAAGGGGAUAAACUUUAACCAGCAAACCCCAACAGGAACAAUUGAGGGUUAAAAGAAGCAUAGAAAUGGAGAUGGAACGCAGUUUAAAACUCAAACAGGUGCGGGUAACAUGGGCAAGCACCAACACCUUCCCCAGUAAGAGUCGCAGAAACCCUCCUGGACAAUAAUCACUAGCAGAAAGAACCAGAAGUUAGAAUUGGCAUUUAAGUUGGAACCUUCAGGACCCUCCAGGAAAAUGGGACUCAUUUAAAGGUUAGGGGUAAUCAUGGAUAGAAAUGGGCACAAAAUGACUUGCAUGUUGAAGUAGGAUUUAGCUAAGAGUUGUGAGGACCCUCCUGAAAAAUGGGACUUAGCCUAACAACAGAAACAGUCGGGUAACAUGGGCAGGCUCAAAUAUCUCCCAACAAGAGUCAACAAGAGUCGUCAGUACCCGUCUGGAUAAUGGAUUUAAUCGUAGGAGUUGUUAGGACCCCCUAGAUAAUGGAACGUAGCUCUAAAUACUGACCCCCAGCAGACACAGUUGGUCAUCUAAUUAAGAGUUGUUAGGACCCGCCUGGAUAAUGGAAAGUAGUUUUAAUCACCAGUCACCGGCAGACCCCCAGCAAAUAUAACUCAUAACAAGACACAGUAGAAAAUAAUACCUUCCGAGAGACAUAACAUAGUCUUAAAGUUGUCAUCAGAUAAGAAUUGUUAGGACCCUCCUGGAUAAUGGGACUUAGCUUAGAUUUAGAGAUGUUUGGUAAAGGUAUUCGAUUAACACUCACGGGUCUGCCCAGCACCAAACUGAGGCAGAAAGAAAUUUUUGCGUUUUGUUUGUCUUGUUAUGGUCAGGUACAUAGGCAAUCAGGCGUCCACAUGUAGAACAAGGGAAUAUUUUUCAAAAAUUUCAAGUUUUGGCAAUCAGGCGCCCACCUGUAGAAUAAGGGAAUAUUUUUUAAAUUUUCAAGUUUUGAUAAUCAGGAGCCCACCUGUAGAACAAAGGAAUAUUUCUCAAAAUUUCAAGUUUUGAUAAUCAGACAGCCACCUGUAGAACAAGGGAAUAUUUUUCAAAUUUUCAAGUUUUGAUAAUAAGGCGCCUACCUGGAGAACAAGGGAAUAUUUUUCAAAUUUCAAGUUUUGGUAAUCAGGCACCCACUUGGAACAAGGGAAUACCUUUCAAGAUUCAGAUCUGGUAAUCAAGCGCUCACCUGUAGAAUAAGGGAAUAUUUUUCAAAUUUCAAGUUUUGAUAGUCAGGCGCCCACCUUUAGAACAAGGGAAUAAAAGUUUCAAGUUUUCAUAAUCAGGAGCCCACCUGUAGAACAAGGGAAUAUUUUUCAAAACUUCAAGUUUUGAUAAUCAGGCGCCCACCUGGAGAACGAAGCAAUAUUUUUCAAAUUUCAAGUUUUGGUAAUCAGGCGCCCACCUGUAGAAUAACGGAAUAUUUUUCAAAUUUCAAGUUUUGGUAAUCAGGCGUUCACAUGUAGAACAAGGAAAUAUUUUUCAAAUUUCAAGUUUUGGCGAUCAGGCGCCCACCUGUCAGAAUAAGGGAAUACUUUCAAAUUUCAAGUUUUGGUAAUCAGUCGCCCACCUGUAGAACAAGAGAAUAUUUUUCAAAAUUUCAAGUUUUGGCAAUCAGGCGCCCAUCUGUAGAAAAAGGGAAUAUUUUUUCAAAAUUUCAAGCUUUGAUAACCAGGCGCCCACCUGUUGAACAAGAGAAUAUUUCAAAAUUUCAAGUUUUAGUAAUCAGGCGUCCACCUGUAGAACAAGGGAAUAUUUUUUAAAAUUUCAAGUUUUGAUAAUCAGGCGCCCACCUGUAGAACAAGGAAAUAUUUUUCAAAGAUGCAAGUCUUGGCGAUCAGGCGCCCACCUGUAGAACAAGGGAAUAUUUUUCAAAAUAUCAAGCUUUGAUAAUCAAGAGUCCAUCUGUAGAACAAGGGAAUACAUGUCAAGUCCAACAAUUCGGGAACAAACAUAGAAGAAAAGAAGGCAAGGAGUCAAUAAGGCGACAAUGAGUUUACAGGAAGGAAUGCUAGUCAACAAGGCAGCAACGAGUUCAUAGAAAGAAAUACAAGGCAACAAAGCAACAAGGAUCAAAAGAAGAUUGAAGACAUAGAUAUGUUCUUUUGUAAUCUGUAGUUCAUAGCUUAGUCUAGUUCUUCUUAUUUUUCACGAGGUGUAAUAAGGAGGUCGCAAGCAGUAACAGCAGCACAAGUAGUGAAAUCAUAGCUCGUGGUAGUCCCAGCUACCAAACACUGCAGAAGAACACUAACCUGAUUCCUUUAUAGCCAAGGAUAUGUAGGCAACUUUUGAAGCAAGGUUCGGUCAGACAGUUUUCAAAAUGCUUCUCAUGGAAUUCAAAGUAGGAAAAAAUCUCUCAGUUGCUCAUUUAUUUUUGCCCAGAAAUCUUUCGUGUCUCCGAACAAAUAGGGGUAGCUGUGAGCAUGUGAUUUUUGCCUCGCUUGGCAUGUUCCUAUAAAAUUCAUUAAGUUAGGAUUUUCUAUUAUUAAUUAAAAGUUUUGUGUGAUUUUGUGUUUAUUUGCACUUUUUUAUUAUUUGAAUUUUUAGGAAUUAAUUGUGUGACUUGGUUUAUUUGCGUCUUUCUUUUAUUAUUUUAAUUUUUAGGAUUUAUUUGCGUGAUUUUGUGAUUGUUUGAAUUUUAAGAAUUAAUUGUAUAAUUUUAUGUUUAUUUGCAUGUUGCACGUUUUAAUUUACAUAAUUCAUAAAAAAUAUAAAAAAUGGCAUGCUUGCAUCUAGGAUUUAAAUUUUACAUUUUUUAGGUUAUUAAUUAGUUAAUAUUGAAAAUGAGGAAAAAAUAACAAAAAUUGGUUAAUUUUCUUUGAAAUUUAGAAUUUAGGAGUUUAUUUAGUCAAUUUCUUGUUAAAUAUGUUUUUGGCUAUUUUUAUUUUUAUUUUUACUUUUUUAUUAAAAAUCUGAAAAAAAAAUAAUGAAACAAAAAUAUAUAAAAAGAGAAUCAUUGAUUGCAUACUAAUAUGGGUCUUUAAGAGAGAAAAUUUGGCCCAAACCUCCCAGUCUAGCAGACCCAGCCCAAUCCCCCCCCCNNNNNNNNNNNNNNNNNNNNNNNNNNNNNNNNNNNNNNNNNNNNNNNNNNNNNNNNNNNNNNNNNNNNNNNNNNNNNNNNNNNNNNNNNNNNNNNNNNNNNNNNNNNNNNNNNNNNNNNNNNNNNNNNNNNNNNNNNNNNNNNNNNNNNNNNNNNNNNNNNNNNNNNNNNNNNNNNNNNNNNNNNNNNNNNNNNNNNNNNNNNNNNNNNNNNNNNNNNNNNNNNNNNNNNNNNNNNNNNNNNNNNNNNNNNNNNNNNNNNNNNNNNNNNNNNNNNNNNNNNNNNNNNNNNNNNNNNNNNNNNNNNNNNNNNNNNNNNNNNNNNNNNNNNNNNNNNNNNNNNNNNNNNNNNNNNNNNNNNNNNNNNNNNNNNNNNNNNNNNNNNNNNNNNNNNNNNNNNNNNNNNNNNNNNNNNNNNNNNNNNCCCCCCCCCCCCCUCAACCCAGUCCAGCCCCGGAGACGCCUAAACGACGUCGUAUCUCCCAAAGUGAUCUCAACCGUCAAGGUUGAUCGAUCCAACGAAUGAGAACUAGACUGACUCUAAUAUAAAAUUAUCUAAAAACCCCCCACCCACCCCUCCAAACCAUCUACCAUAUACCCCAAUUACGAUAGUAUAUCACCACCAUUCGCCGCCUUCCUGCCACAAUCCGACGCCGGCCGGAUAUCGUCGGCAACGGCGAUACUCUAAACGACCUCAAAUUCACACCACAGCUUCCCUGCCACCCCCUCUUCCCAAAUCCCAACUUUGCUUCUCUCGAAUUUCUGCCGAGCUCUUCGAAUAUAUGAUUAUGUGGUCACAGUUUCCACCACCCAUGGCGGCGUUAUUCCCAAACCCUCCCAGAUUUAUAUCCAUGCACCCUCGUGACCUCUCCUUCCUAGUCCUAUAAUUUUUUGGGUUCGAAUCAUACCACAUCUCCUCAAAUUUUAGUUUGAACCGUCCAGCCAAAAUACAACCCUUCCCAAAAUCCGCCAAAUUAACACCAUAGACUCUCCUCACACCCCUCAUCUUGAAUCCACAACCCUCAGUCCUCGAAUCCUUCCCGAUAAGGUCAAACUUCAAAUCAAAAAAUUGGACCUAGAACCCUAGUUGUUCAAGCUUUGGGAUAUCCUUGAUUUUGGGCUUUAAUAUCCCUUAGUCUUGUGUUUUCCAGUGGAAAACACACGAUUAAGGACGGUUUGACCCCGAAAAUGCCGAGAAAUUCGUCGGUGUUUGAGCCUGAAUCAGAGUCCGAGGUAUUUUGCUUUUACUUUUUAUUUCCUUUUAUGAUUCCUAUUUUCGUUUCGUUGUUUUGUUCCAUUGUUAUUUUUGUGAUUAGUUUAGGACUUCACUUCAAUUUUUUGUUUCUUUUUCCUACCAUAAAGUUUAUAUUUAUUAGUAAUGCGAAUAGGUUCGAUUUGAUUCCAUGUAUUGUUGGGUUUGUUUAUUCUGCAUAAUGAGUUCUAGUUGUUCUUCUUGUUGGCUGGUUUAAUUUUAGUUCUUUGAUACAAUUAAAUUCAUUAGAGGUUAAUCUCCAUUUGUUUAGCUAGGGUAGUUAGAUUGAAUGUUGGUUACAGCUGGGAAAUUUCUAGGUCAUGAGCUAAUUGACCAUGGUUAGCUGACUAGCGUAAGAGGGAGCUGAAAAUGCAACUAUGUCAUUUAGGUAAUUCUUGGAAGAGGUAGGGGUAAUAUAAGUAAUCCAGCUUGAGGAGCAUGUAGUCACUAUCCUUAGAAACUUCUAGAAUAUGGGUCAAAUUGAAAUUCAGACCUUUUGUUUUGUUAUAACUUGGGUAGCAAGCUAGAAAAUAAGGGACUAAGGUAGUAAAUCUGAAAAUGGGACAAGGAAUAGAGGCCAACUUAAACAAUCUGAAGUGAGCCCUAAUAGUUGGCAUAUAAGGCAUCAAUCUUUCUUAGGAGAGGGGAUUUUUUAAAAGGAACUUACUGAAAAUCUGAGAGUGAAACAAAAAAAAAAGCCGAAAACUCCAAAUAUACAGGCUGAAAAAACCCCAAAAUAUAGAAGUUUGAUUAGAGAGUUUAAAAAUCCAGAAAAAUGCUACUGUUUCAUUGAAUGAUCUCCGAAAUUCUUGUGGGAUCUACUCUAUAACAAAUUUUAAGCAAGCUGAUAGCUAAAAUGAGCUGAGAUAGGUGGUAUCCAAGUGUUGGGAUCAUUUUGGUCGAAAUCCGAUUUGGUGCUUUGAGUGACCUUGUGUGAAUUUGAAAUUGUUCAAAGUAGUGUCCGAUAGCUAUUCCAGGGUUGGUUUUGCUGUUGGAUUGCUCCUGUUGCUGCUCUUCUACUGUUUCCUUAUUUCUCUGCCUUCUUUUGCUAUUUUCAGGUAUAUUCCAGCCCCUUGGAGCCCAUUUAAGCAUGUAAAUUGAAGUAGUGAUUUGAGGAACAAAUGUAUACAUUAUUAUUGUUGUGUCUCAUUUCAUUUUAUAGCUCUUGAAGUUGAAUUCAUGAAAUUUCUAAAGUAAGUUGUAUUUGGUUGGAUUGUGCAGUCAUGUAAUAGCUUCCCUUCUGAUACCACCAAUCAGACGGUACAGUAGUGUAGAUUUGGGUUAUGUGUAUACUAUUUAUUUGAGUCGCCUUAUUCCAUUGAGUUUAGUCUUGUUAUAGUUGUAGUUUGAUCCUUGGCAUCGCUAUAAUUUAAUCGUGGUUACAAUUUCGGACUUCAUGUGCUGAAUGCAUCUUCCAGGAAGUUAUGAUGUUAGAUUAGUUUAAACAAAUCCAUAUUAGUCUUAAAUUUGUUGUACGUUUGAGUUUCAGUUGCUUGUUUUCUUCUGGAUGAUGGAUCUACUGAGUUGGGCUUCACUUAGGAGCCCAACUAUUUUCAUAUGUGAGAUUUCUCGUGAUGACUGUUAGCGUGUCCUCGUGAGUCUGGGCCUAAUUGGAGAACUUUCCUUCAAAUGUAACUAAGACUCAAUCUAAUAGGUCGGGCCAUUGUCUUCCUUGCAUUGGAAGAAUUAAUAGAUAACAAACUGAUAUGGCACUCCAGGCAUUUUAUUUUAAGUGUCCAUUAAAAUGGACUCCAGGUGUGCCGCGCCAAUUAAAAAUCACAAAUGCGUGGCCUACUCUAGUUAUGGCUUUAAAAAUAAUUAGAGAUUCAGGACACGCCAUUUAGCGAAUUUCACGGCUUUCCCGCAAAGAUAAUAAUAUGUUAGUCGCUUUUAGGCGCGUCUUUAACAAUUUUAUCUUCUUAAGUCCGGAUGCGCAUUUAUGUGACCCAAAUCCAAAUCUCAACGAAGUUGAAAUGUGUCUAAAACCGCGGGUGCAUUUAUGUGAUGUGGCUCGAGACACGUUUUAACGACGUUGUAAUCCUCUUUAAAAUAAUAAUAAUAAUAAUAAUAAUAAUAAAGUGGUCAAAAUAUUUAAAAUGCACAUAGGUUCAUAAUUGUGUAAAAUCAUAUGGUUGAAGCCAAAUAUAACAGUUGAGCAACCAUGCAAGAACCAUGGAACCCGGGAAUGCCUAACCCCUUCUCCCGGGUUAAUAGAAUUCCUUACCCGGAUUUCUGGUUUGCAGACUAUUAAACAAAGUCAUUUUUUCCUCGAUUCGAGAUUCUAAAACUUGGGACACCAUAAAUCUCCCAAGUGGCGACUCUGAAAUUCUCUUAAAUAACUGAAUCCAUUUCGAUUAUCCUGUAACUAAAAAACUCCCUUAUCUACGCCCUUCACUGGGUUGUAGUAGCCAAAAGGAGGUGUGACACUUAUCGCUUCUGCGGUUUCUCAUCAAUGACACAGGGCCACAUCUGUGGCAAAAUUCUCGUAGGUGCGUAACCGCAUCUGCAGUUAAUCUUCCGCACCUACGGAAAAGCUGAGGGAGCCCAAAUUCCGCUCCUGUGAUAGGAUAGCUGCUUAUGCGGCUCCGCUUCUGCGGUACCCAAGCCGCAGAAGUGAAAAUACCAUAAGAGAAGAAUCAGUUGCUGCAACACUUAAAAAAUUUCUCCGUUAACCACCUGAAAUCAUCUCGAGGCCCCUGAGACUUCAACCAAAAGCAUCAAUAACACCAAAUACCCUAUUCGAACUUGUACAAAUCCUUAAACACCUAAAAUAACACCGGAAAUUCGAUUUAAUCAAUUAUUUAAGCCUAAGAACUUCAAAUUUCAUCAAAAUACACUUUCGAUCAAAAUCCUAACCAAAACACGCCCGAAUGACCUGAAAUUUUGCACACACAUCCCAAAUGACAUGAUUGUGCUACUACAACUUUCGGAAUUCCAAUCUGACCCUCGGAUCAAAAACUCACUAUCGGACCGGAAACUUCAAAAAUUCAAACUUUGGCAUUUCAAGCCUAAAUAAGGUAAGGCAAGCUCGUAAGCAACCUCCCCAACUCGCCUCAAAAUCUCAAAAGGGCAAAUAACUCUCUGGAUCAACUUCCCUUUCUUCCCAAACCUCAUGACGCCUUUCAUAGGCGAGACCCGAAGUAGGACCCGCUCACCAACCAUAUGGUAAACAUCACGAACCUUCCGAUCUGCGUAAAUCUUCUGUCGGGACUGGGCUGUAUGGAGUCUGUCCUGAAUCACCUUAACCUUCUCCACCGCAUUCUAGACCAAAUCAGUGCCCAAUAGCCUGGCCUCACCCGGCUCAAACCAACCCACCGGGAUCUGCAUCUCUUACCAUAUAAAGCCUCAUACGACGCUAUCUGAAUUCUAGACUGAUAAAUGUUGUUGUAAGCAAACUCCGCCAGUGGCAAGAACUGAUCCCAAGACCCUCCAAAAUCAAUCACACACGCACGUUGCAUAUUCUCAUAAAUCUAAAUGGUGGCUCGAACUAUCCGUCCGUCUGGGGGUGAAAUGAUGUGCUCAUCGCCACCUAAGUACGCUACUCCUAUUGAACGACUCUCCAGAACCGUGAUGUGAACUGAGUAAUUCCGUCUGAAAUGAUAGAAACUGGAAUACCAUGUAGACAAACAAUCUCCCAGAUAUAAAUCUAUGUCAAUCGCUCCAAUGAAUAAGUAGUACACAUAGGGAUAAAAUGUGCGAACUUGGUUAGCUGGUCCACAAUCACCCAAAUGGCAUCAAACUUCUUCACUGUCCGAGGGAGACCAACUACAAAAUCCAUGGUGAUCCUCUCCCAUUUCCACUCCGGAAUCUCUAUCUGCUGAAGGAACCCACCUGGUCUCUCGUGCUCAUACUUCACCUGCUGACGGUUGAGGCAUCUAGCUACAUAUCCAACUAUAUCCUUCUUCAUCCGCCUCCACCAAUAGUGUUGUUUCAGGUCUUGAUACAUCUUCAUGGCACCAGGGUGGAUGGAAUACCACGAACUAUGGGCCUCUGCUAGAAUCAACUCCCGUAGCCCAUCAACAUUGGGCACACAAACACGGCCCAACAUCCUCAACACCCCAUCAUCUCCAACGGUCACCUCUCUGGCAUCGACAUGCUGAACCGUGUCCCUCCAAUGGUCACCUCUCGGCAUCGCCAUGCUGAACCGUGUCCUUAAGGAUAAAUAAAUGAGGGUCAUUAUACUGUCGCUCCCUAAUACGAUCGAACAAUGAAGACCGAGAAACCACGCAGGCUAGAACCCGACUGGGCUCCAAAAGAUCCAAUCUCACAAACUGACUAGCUAAGGCCUGAAAAUCCAUCUCCAUAGAUCUCUCUGAAGCUGGUAAAUAAGAAAAAACUCCCCAAAAUCUCCGCCCGACGACUCAAGGCAUCUGCUACCACAUUGGCCUUGCCCGAGUGAUAUAGAAUAGUGAUAUCAUAGUCCUUUAGCAACUCUAACCACCUCCUCUUGCACAAAUUUAGACCCUUCUGCUUGAACAAAUGCUGCAAACUUCUAUGAUCAGUAUAAAUCUCACAAGGCAGACCGUACAAAUAAUGACACCAAAUAUUCAAGGCAUGAACAAUAGCAGCUAACUCAGGGUCGUGGACGGGGUAAUUCUUCUCAUGUAACUUAAACUAUCUGGACGCGUAGGCAGUCACCCUACCGUCCUGUAUAACCACUAAUCAAAGGCCAACCCAUGAGGCAUCACAAUAGACUGUAUAAGAUCACGAACCAGUAGGCAAUAUCAGAAUAUGGGCUGUAAUCAAAGCCGGUUUGAGCUUCUGAAAGCUUGCCUCACACUCCCAUGUUCGAUAAAAUAGAGCACCCUUAUAGGUCAAUCUAGUCAUAAGGGCUGCAAUCGAUGAAAACCCCUCCAUAAAACGACGGUAAUAACCCAACAAGCCAAGGAAACUGUGAAUCUUUGUGGCUGAGGAUGGCCUGGGCGACCUCUCCACGGCCUCUAUCUUCCUAGAAUCUACCUGAAUACCCUCACUCAAAACCACAUGGCCGAAGAAUGCCACUGAAUCCAACCAAAACUCACAUUUUGAGAACUUCGCAUAUAACUUCUUCUCCAAAAAACUGUGAAUCUAUGUAGCUGAGGAGGGCCUGGGCCAACUCUUCACGGCCUCUAUCUUCCUUGAAUCUACCCAAAUGCCCUCGCUUGAAACCACAUGGCCUAAAAAUGCCAUUGAAUCCAACCAAAACUCACAUUUUGAGAACCUCGCAUAUAACUUCUUCUCCCUUGGGGUCUGAAGCACGGCCCUCAGGUGCUGCUCAUGAUCUUCCUGACUUCGGGAAUACACCAUAAUAUCAUCAAUAAAAACAAUAACGAAUGAGUCGAGAUAUGGCCUGAAUAUAUUGUGCAUCAAAUGCAUAAAAGCUGCUGAGGCAUUGGUCAGCACAAAUAACAUAACAAGGAACUCGUAAUGACCAUACCGAGUCCAAAAGGCAAUCUUCGGGAUAUCUGGCUCCCGAAUAUUCAAUUGAUGGUAACAUGAGCGCAAGUCAAUCUUAGAAAACACAUUUGCGCCCUGAAGCUGGUCAAACAGAUCAUCAACACAAGGCAAAGGAUAAUGGUUCUUCACGGUAACCUUGUUCAACUGGCGAUAAUCAAAACACACAUGCAUUGAACCAUCCUUCUUCUUCACAAACAAGACAGGACACCCCACAGUGAAACACUGGGUGGAAUAAAACCUUCGUCAAGCAAUUUCUGUAACUGAUCCUUCAAAUCCUUCAACUCAGGAGGAUCUAUACGAUAUAGAGGAAUGGAAAUGGGCUGAGUGCCCGGCAAUAGAUCAAUGCCAAAAUCAAUGUCUCUAUCAGGCGGCAUGCCCUAAAGAUCAGCUGGAAAUACAUCGAGAUAAUCCCAUACCACUGGGACAGAAUCAACAUAAGGGGUAUCCAUACUGACAUCUCUCACAUAGGCUAAAUACGCUGCUCACCCCUUCUCAACCAUACGCUGAGCUUUAAGGAAAGAGAAAACUCUACUGGGAGUGUGAUCUAAAGUACCACUCCACUCAAUAUGCUGAAUACCUGGCAUAGCCAGCAUCACGAUCUUGGCGUGACAAUCAAGAAUAGCAUAAUGGGGCAACAACCAGUCCAUGAACAAGAUAAUAUCAAAAUCAACCAUGUUGAGUAACAAUAAAUCUGCCCUAGUCUCAAAACCAUGAACAGUAACCAAACACGACCAAUAAACGCGGUCCACAACAAGAGAAUCUCCCACAAUAGUAGAAACAUAAACAAGGGCACUCAAAGAAUCCCGAGGUACACCCAAAUGCGGAGCAAAGUAAGAAGACACAUAAGAAAUAAGUAGAGCCCGGAUCGAAUAGAACUGAUGCCUCUCUAUAGCAAGCCAAUAUAAUACCUGUGAUAUAGAAUCGGAGGCAACAGCCUCGGCACGAGCAAGAAGGGCAUAAUAUCUGGCCUGGCCUUCCCCUCCCCCCUCCCCCGAGGGCAACCUCUACCUCCUCGGCCUCCACCUCUAGCUGGCUACGGGUGGGGCGGCAACUGGGGUUGUAACCAUAGCCUGAGAUCUCUGCGGGGCAUGUUGUGGCUGAGCAGUCUGUGAAGAUGCACCCUUACCAAGUCUGGGGCAGUCCCAAACGACAUGGCGUGUAUCACCACACUCUAAAAAAUCUCUGGGAGGACGCGGUGGUUGUGAAUGACUAGGGCUAGGUCUGUUGGACUGACCCAUGGAAACACCCCGUGCAGGAGGCUCGCUAGAACCCAGAGGUGCAUAAUAAGGCUCAUGAGGCACAGGCGGAGCUGGAGCACUGCUGGAUGCCGGAAGAGAUGAAUGAACGGGGCGACCCACAAAACCCCUACCAUGUCGACCUGUUGCUGGGGUACAGGUACCAAAAUAGUGGACCGACUCCCGAGACCUCUUGGCCUCUCUCUCCUCUCGCCCCCUAGCGUGCAUACUCUCAAUCCUUAUAGCAAUGCUCACUACCUGCUGAUAAGGAAUGUCCAUCUCCAACUCUCGAGCAAUGCUAGAUCUAAUAGGUGGGAUAAGACCCUCAAUGAACCUACAAACUCUCUCACGGACUAUAGCAACCAAAGCCGGUACAGGCCUGGCCAAUUUGGUAUACAGAUAGUAUACUCCAAAACCGUCAUAUCACCCUGGUGCAAAUGCUCAAACUCGGCGCCCAUGCGUUCUUGAGACUCUGGGGGACAAACUCUCUCAUAAACAUAUCCAAGAACUAGGUCCAAGUCAGUGAAGCAGCCUCGACUGAACUGUCAAUAUCAUAAGUGCGCCACCAAUCAUAGGCGGCUCCCCGAAGCUGAAAGGUAGUAAAGGAAACCCCGCUGGACUCUACUAUGCCCAUAAUGUGAAGAAUACGGUGGCACUCCUCUAGAAAUACCAAGGCAUCAUCUGUCGAUAGUCCACUGAAACCAGAGGAUCAUACUUCUUGAACCUCUCCAACCUCCACUACUCAUCCUCAGAAGCAGUUGCCCCAUCCACGGGCUGAACUAGCACUGCGGGCGGAACAAGAAUGAUCUCUAGAUCCUGCUCAACCUGCACUUGCUGCUCAUGAGUGCGGAUGGUGGGAGUCUGUGCUCCUCCCCUGGUCUGGGAUGUGGCUGCACUAAGGGAAAGCAACCCUACAUGAGCCAAGGUGGUGUACAUAGACAUGAGCUGAGCCAACGUCUCCUGAAGGGCUGGAGUAGUAGUGGCAGUAGUAGGCAUGCCAGGUGCCUGGGCUCCGGCUGGACCUGCUAGUAGUGCCUCGGCGGUAGCUCGCGUAGGUGCUCUAGCUGCACCACGUGCGAGUCCUCGACCUCUGCCCCGGCCCCAGCCUCGGACAGCUGUAAUAGGGGCGCGAGUGCCCGAUCAUCUCGAAAAGUGUGUGUCCUCAUCAUCUGUGAGAGAAUAAAAGACAGAAGUUUAGAUCCAAUGUCAAAAAAUAUUGCACGACAAGGAAAUAAUUGAAGCAAAGAUUCUUCCUGAACAGUUACAUAGCCUUUCAUAGAUAAGUACAUACGUCUCGGUACCGAUCAGCGAGACUCUAAUAAACUGACAUGUGUUCCGUGACUCCAAUAAACCUAGAGCUCUAAUACCAGCUUGUCACGAUCCAAGUUCACCCUCCAUGAACCUGUCGUGAUGGCACAUAGUUCCUACAACUAGGUAAGCCUAACAAUGCGGAAACUUAAUAUAACUUGUGGAAACAUUUAAUUAAAGUAAGCAAAAACUAGAAGAAAAACGAUAUAUAAAUGCCACUUGGCAUAUACAACUCCAAAAUAAAUGCGGAAGUCUACAACUCAAUCCCAAAACCCGAAAUCUCACGGGAACCACAUGAUAAUAGAAAAGUAACAUACUGUUCUAACUCCAGAAUGUCUAAACAACUGAAAUAAAAGGAAGGAAUAACUACUAAAGCUGGAACAGAAUAGAGACUCCUAGUCAACGGACGCAGCAGAUAUACUUCAAAGUCUCCUCUAGAUCUCUUCGCCUCGAUGGUAGUAUGCCUGAGUGGAGGUACCUAGAUCUGCACAUGAAAAACAUGCGCAAAAUGGGCAUGAGUACACCACACGGUACUCAGUAAGUGUCAAGCCUAACCUUGGUCGGGUAAUGACAAGAAAGGUCAGGGCCUUACUGAGAUUAAACAAUAUAAUAAAAAUCCUGACAACAGUAUACAGUAAGCAGAAACAAUGGAAUACAACUGUGAAGUAAGUCAGGUUACACAACAACAAUCAACACACAGAGGAUAAAAUAACACAGAGUACAACAACUCAAUAUCAACACCAAUUACGAGGAUCUUCCAAGAUAUCGUCAUGUAGUCCAUUUCCAUGGCAAUACCAACAAUGAGGAUUUUCUCAGGAUACCGUCAUGUAGUCCAUUUCCAUAUCAAUACUAAUAACGAGGAUCUCCAAGGAUAUCGUCAUGUAGUCCAUUUCCAUAUCAACCAAUAACGAGGAUCUUCCAGGAUACCGUCCUAUAGUCCAUAAUAUAAAUGUGUAGGGAGAUCUCCCAGGAAUCUAACCCGUAGUCCCAAAGUAAAUAUGCAGGAGGAUCUCCCGGGAAUCUAACCCGUAGUCCCAAAGUAAAUAUGCAGGGGGACCUCCCAGGAAUCUAACCCGUAUUCCCAAAGUAAAUAUGCACACACAAUCAGAGAAUAUUCAUAAAUGAAGUACAAAAAUACAAGCAACAGAUAGUUGUAGCCUAACAUAUCUCACGUAGUGCAGCUAAGGCAAUUUAAGCAAGUAGGCAAGUUAAAUCAACCAAACACGUCUUUCUAAUCUAACACGGGUUAUAAUUACAAGUAAGAUAAGUAAGUACGAAAGAAACUUAGUCUCAAUAUCCUAAGUAAAAACCGAAUUUUCAAUAGCUUAAACACACGCUCGUCACCUCACGUACAAAGCACUCAAUUACCAAAUAACAUAUCCUAGGGGAAAGGUCCCCCACACAAGGUUAGAAAGCCACUUACCUUGAACAAGUGCAAGUCAAUCCGAAAUCAUGUUCUUGCCACGAGUAUCCGACUCCAAGUGGUCCAAAUCUAUUCAAUUCAAUUACAUAUCGUAAAUAACAUUGCAAACAACUAAUUCCAUUAUUAAAUUUAAAGCUAAGACGCAAAAAUAGUUAAAAUGAUCAAAACGCCCCUUAGGACAAUGUCUCGAAGUCGGUUAAUUUUUAUAUUUUCAAAACCCUCGUACUCUCACAAGUAUAACCAUAUAAAAAUCUUCCAACUUGGAGGUCAAAUGCUCACUCAAAACCCAAUAGUUUGUUCUAAGAAGUUUCACCCAAUUUUUCCAACUUUUGAUCCCAAAUUCAAAUUUUAAUGGUGGAUUUAACUACAAAUAAUGAAAUAUAACUAGAAAAGAUUAAAGAAACAUUACCCAAUAGUCUUCUCUUCAAAACCCUCUGAAAAUCGCUCUUCCCCGAGCUCAAUUUGAUUUUUCUAACUUAUGAAAUCAACCCUCGAAAUUUCUAUAUCUGCAUAGGCAUUUUUGCUUCUGCGAAUAAGGGACCGCAUCUGCGGUCCCACUUCUGCGGAACAAAUGCCGCUUCUGCGGCUAUUCACAAGACUCCAGGGUUCCGCUUUUGUGGCCUUAAACCGCACCUGCGGUUGCCGCUUAUGCAAAAUACUUACCGCUUCUGCGAUUUCUCACCAAUGACCCAGGGUCGCAUCUGUGGUAAAAUUCUCGCUGGUUUGUAACCGCAUCUGCGGUUAAUCUUCCGCACCUGCAGAAAAACUGAGAGACCCUAAAUUCCGCUCCUGCGAUGGGAUGGCCGCAUAUGUGGCUUCGCUUAUGCGGUUCCCAAGCCGCAGAAGAGAAGAAUCAGCUACUGUAACACUUCAAAAUUUCUCCGUUAAUCACCUGAAAUCAUCCCGAGGCUCCCCGGACUUCAACCAAAAGCACCAAUAACACCAAAUACCCGAUUCGAACUUGUACCAAUCCUUAAACACCUAAAAAAACACCAGAAAUCUGAUUUUAUCAAUGAUUUAAGCCUAAAAACUUCAAAUUUCAUCAAUAUACACUUUCGAUGAAAAACCUAACUAUAACACGUCCGAAUGACCUGAAAUUUUGCACGCACGUCCCGAAUGACAUGACAUAGCUAUUGCAACUUCUGAAAUUUCAAUCCAGCCCUCGGAUCAAAAACUCACUAUCGCACUAGAAACUUCAAAAUUCAAACUUCGGCAUUUCAAGCCUAAAUGAGCUACGGACUUCCAAAAUACAUUCCGAAUACGCUCCCAACCCUGAAAUCAUCUAACGGGCUAGUGGAACCAUCGGUUUUCCAUUCCAAGGCCAUCUUCACACUGUUCCGACUACGGACCACUUUCCAACACUUAAGCUCUCUUUUAAAGACUAAGUGUCCCAAAACUCUCUGAAACCCAAUACCGAACGACCCGAUAGACCAAAAUAGCAGAAAUGAACUUAAGGGAGGCAGUUAAUAGGAAUCGGGACGUAAAUUCCAAAAACGACUGACCGAAUCGUUGCAGUAAUUGACCCAAUACAUAAUACAUCUCAUGCUUUAAUAAAGUAAUCGUUGAACCUACAGAUUCAGUAAUUGCGUAAAUUGUCACCAUUGCUAUAAUGUGAAAAAUAGGGAUAUUGAGUAGAUGAAAUAGGAAAUUAAAAAUGAUUUGAAAUAAUAAAACGCAUAAUCAAUCAAUUAUAGUAUAAAAUAGGGAGUUUUGUUGGACACCCACGUUUGGAAGCACGAUCAGGCCAUUUUCUUUCUUACAAAAAUAAUUUGCAAAUUUCAGUAUAGUAAUCUAUUAAAAACGACCAACAAAAAAGUAGGAGGAAUUUUGUUUUUUUGUAAUUGCAAGUAUAAUUAAUAAAAUUUCCAUGUAAAAUCAGUUCUUUUUUAAAUAAAAAUUAAAACUUGUCCUUUAAUUAUCCCAUUUAAAAUCAAUUUUUUGAAAAAAAACAAUUAAUAAUUCUGAAAAAGAAAGUGUCCUUUACAUUUUGUUAAAUAAAUUUGAAAGUGUAACAAAGUUGAAACAUUGUCUAAAAAAAUUAUACGUGUCAAUUUAAUGUUAUGUCAUUUGUUAGAAAAUUUCAUGUUUAGAAAAAAAAAGGCCCAAAAAACGUGGGUCAAUCUUCAUAUAUUAACUGAAUAGGAGAAAUUCUUUUUUUUUUUUAAUUAGUUUAAUAAAUAACUUAAAUUAACUGCUAAAAAUGUAGGAUUUCAUGUUCUAGUUAAUUGCCGAAGGUUUACAAAAUAUUACCAACAACUUUUCUAUGUUAGUUUUUUUAAUUUUCAGGUUUAAUAAAUAAUUUAAAUUAACUGUCAAAACGUGUUUUGCGUGUAAUAUUUUAACAUUAAAACAUGGGAUCCAUGAUGUUCAAUAACUAAAUUGGCUAGUUAUUCAGAUUUUGUAUUUUUUCUUUUUAAAUUUUUUUUAAUCUUCAAAUCUUUUGGAGUUAUGUCGUAAAAAUCAUGACACGUAUUAAUAUUUAGUUUUGACACUUGACAUAAUGGUGUGAAUAACGUUGUGUGCUUCUCCUUUUAUAUAUAUAUAUUAGUAAUCGUACAUGUGCGAUGCUCGGUUAAUAUUAAAAACUAUUAAUUAAAUUAUAAUUGAGUUUAUUUGAUCCUAUUAGACCGUAUUACUUUAAUAAAUCUCAAUUAUUCUUUUUUUGUCAAUACGAUAUAUCCAAUCCUCACUGAUAUUUGAGUUGUUAAUUUAGGUAGUUCAUUUCUUUGUUAAUUUUUAAUAAAUAUUUUUUUUUGAAUAAACAGUUUCUUUCCAUUUCAUAAAAAAAAACAAUUACAAACCAGUAGCUGCUGACCAACUACUCGACCUCUGAUUUUGUAUUCUAAAUGAGUCUCUACCAGAACUAUGCAUAUACAUCAAUUCUAUACAAAGCUCAUAGAACAAAAUUUAAACCGACUCCAUAUCCUAAGGGUAGCUAUUUGUCCUCUGCAAAGCAUCCUUCCAGUUAUGAAUUGAGGACCCCUUUAUGUGUAUGUGGACUGCUAUUUCCUUAGAUAUGUUGCUGAUGAUCAUUCUACCUCUUUGAAACCUAAGCUUGUUCCUUUCUCUCCAUAUAACAUAUACUAGCAUCCCAAUUGUUAUUUCCUUGCAUAUGUUGUUGAUAAUCAUUCUACCUCUUUGGAACCUAAGCUUGUUCCUUUCUCUCCAAAUAAGAUAUACUAGCAUCCCAAAUACACUGGUGGUUAUUGAAGUUUGACCAUUUCUCCUUUUUGCAUUCUUGCUAACCCAUUCAACCUCCCUAAUCCAAUCACAGAUGGUUCUCUCGUAUCCCAUCAAUCUUGACAAUCUAUUCCAUAGUUCCAAAGAUGUCGGGCAAGCAAAAAACAGGUGAUCAAAUGAUUCAUCUGCUUGCCUGCAAAAAACACACAGCUGUGGAGUCUGUAUACCAAACUUCAUUAAUCUCUCCACUGUUGCCAGUCUUCUAUGCAAUGCAAGCCAUAUAAUGAAUUUGAAUCUGAUGUGGAGUCUGUAUAUCAAACUUCAUUAAUCUCUCCAAUGUUGCCAGUCUUCUAUGCAAUGCAAGCCAUAGAAUGAAUUUGAAUCUUGGAUGCAGCUGUGCGAGUCUGUAUACCAAACUUCAUCAAUCUCUCCACUGUUGUCAGUCUUCUAUGCAACGCAAGCCAUAGAAUGAAUUUGAACCUUGGAUGCAACUGUGCCUGCAAAAUGAUGCUUUUCCAGUGGACUUUCUGGAGUUGGGGAAAUUGCAGUCUAUAGAGCUUUUUGAUACUAAAUAGAUCUCCCCUCUGUAGUUGUUUUAAUCUGCACUCCAGACUACCAUGGAUACCCUGAAGAUCUGUUAUGAGUUUCCUUGUCUCAAAAAUUUUCCUCACAACCCAGGCAGUAUUCCUAGGAGUAGGCAUAUCUUCAAUAGACUUCUUCUUUAUGUAAUAAGUGUGUAACCAUUUGAUCCAUGAGUUGUCUUUCUUCAUUUUCACUGCCCAUAAGUGCUUACAAUGGCAGCUUUGUUCCAAUAUAGCAAACUCAUGACAUUAAGACCCCCAACACUAUAUGGUAAACAUAUUGUUUCCCAAGCAACUAAUGCUUUCAUUAACACUGUAGUUGUACCAGUCCACAAGAAUGAUUUGCAUAUUGCCUCAAUCAUCUUCAUUACCUUCUUAGGCAACAAGAAAAUAUGAGAUCAAUAAGAUUGCACUCCAAAUAAUACAGACUUUAUCAGCUGAAGUCUGCCUGCAUAUGAUAGUAGUCUUGAUGUCCAGCAAUUAAUUUUCUGAGUUACCUUCUCCACUAGUGGCCAGUAUUGUGUAAUAGAUAGCUUUUUGGAAUCCAAAGGUACACCAAGAUAUUUGAAAGGAGGGGUACCUUCAGGGAAUCCCAACUCUUGCAUGAUUUCCUCCUUGAGCCAGUUGGGAACCCCAGCUAUGUAGACUGCACUCUUAUCUGCAUUUUCCUAAAGACCUGAUGUUGCAGCAAACUUCUGGAGAGUCUGUUUUAAUAGUCUAACAGACUGAAACUUGAAAUCCUUCCUUUUCAUCAUCUGCAUAAAUUUCCCUGUGCAAAUAUUCCAUAGCUAUGACAAAGAAGUAUGGGGACAUUGGGUCCUCUUGCCUUAUGCCUCUUUUUCAUUUAAAUGGUGUUACGAGACCAAAAUUUAAACUUAAGGAAUAUGUAACAGAUGAUAUGCAUUCCAUUAUCCAGCUUGUGAAUUUGUAAGGAAAUCCCAUGUCCAGCAGUAGUCUUUCUAUAAAACACCACUCUAUUGUGUCAUAGGCCUUCCCCAGGUCAACUUUUAGCACACAUCUUGGGGAACCUCCUUUCUUAUUAUACCCUUUGAAUAGCUCAUGGGUAAAUAGGAUGUUAUCUAUUAUACUCAUACCUUCAAUGAAAGCUGACUGUGAACUUCCUAUCAAAUCACCAAUGACUGUUUUGAUCCUUGCUGUGAGGACUUUUGUGAUUAUUUUAUAUAGAGUUGUGCAGCAAGCUAUGGGCCUAUAAUCAUUUACUUGACUAGGAUUUUGCACAUUUAGUUUCAAUGUUACAGGUGUACUACUCACUCCUUUGUGCAGUUUACCAGUCUCAAAAAAUUCCUUCACAGCCUCAAAUAUGUCAUCACCAACUGCUUUCCAAUGCCUUGUGAAAAAAUCAUUUGGGAACCCAUCUACUCCCGAUGUCAUAUCAUGGGGCAUAUCUUUGAUUGCCCGAUGAACUUCCUCCCUUGUGACUGGCCUGAUUAGUGAUUGUUUCUGGUGCAUGCUAAGACAAGGUCCCUUUUGAAUAAUUUCAGUAUUUGGACACUGAUAUAUGGAGUUACUUUCCCCAGAAUCUUGCUAAAAGACUUUAUAAACUCUUCCUCCACUAGUUUAGGAUCAAACAAUCUAUCCCCUAGAUCAGUGUAGAUGGAGUUGAUAGUAUUCAUGUUUGUCCUCAUCUUCAAUGUGCACGGAAAUACUUGGAAUUUGAAUCUCCACAAGAGAUCCACUAUGCCAUGGAUUUCUGAUGAAGAAUCAUUUCCCCUAUGUUGCUCCAUUUCUCAAUUUUAUUAAAGUCACCUUUUCUUGAUAUAUCAGCUCCUGAUCCAUAUUGUUGCUUCUCAGUUCAAUCUGAAUGGCUUCAAGUUUUUGUCUAGCUUUAUUGAGAUGAAUUCUAUAGGAUGCCAUAUAAGUGUUCAACUCCUUCAAUUCCCAUUUCAAAGCUUUGAGUUUAUUCCAUACCCUAUGCANNNNNNNNNNNNNNNNNNNNNNNNNNNNNNNNNNNNNNNNNNNNNNNNNNNNNNNNNNNNNNNNNNNNNNNNNCAUUUCCACCAUUCACCUCUUGUUUCCAAACCCUUUCCACUAUACCAGCAAAGUCUGCAUGCUCCAUCACAGAAUUGUACAGUUUAAAAGGUUUAGGGUGAAAAUUCCUUCUCUGAUCCACAACUUUGCAUUGCAUUAGAAUAAGGGAAUGAUAGGAUACCUCAGGAUUUAUAAAAUCGGCUUCAAUGUGGCUAUAAUUAUGCGUCCAUUCCACAUUUCCAAGUGCCCGGUCUAUCCUGCUAUACACUCUUUUUCCAGGUUGUUGUUUGUUGCACCAAGAAUAGUACCAUCCCAAGCUCUUCAACUGAGUAAGUUGAAGUGAGUUUAUUGCUUCCUGGAAACCUUUAAUCUCACUCUGUGUGACUGGUGAUCCAAUCCUGUCAUCUGUGUGAAGGACAUUAUUGAAAUCCCCACUAAGCAGCCAGCUCUCCUGAAUAGAUGCUCUUAUAUGCACCAGCCUAUCCCAUAAUUGACGUCUCUUAUUUGCCUCAUUGAUUGCAUAUACCACUGUAAUUAGAGUCUUGAAUGUGGUACCUCUUUCCUGAACUUCAUAGUGAAUAAAUUGUUCAUCAGUCAUCAAUAUUUUCACCUCAAUGUUUGGUUUCCACAUUAUCCAAAUUCUCCCAUUGGAAUGUUCAUUAUAAUUGCAGUAGUUUCUCCAAUCACAGCAGACUUUAUUUAGUAUCCUUCUAGACUUCCUUUCCUUUACUCUAAUUUCUAAACAUCCCAUAAAAUCCACUUUUUUCCUCGGAAAGAUUUUUAACUCUUUCUGAUUUUGGGCCUUAUUCAGGCCCCUAAUGUUCUAGGUGCAUAGAUUCAUUUGAGGGUGAAGCUGGAUGGGCCAACGUCCCCAGGAUUAUCUUCCAUCUGUAAUAUAAAGAAUCUGUUGUUUGGGUUCAGGAUACCAGCUACAUUUUGCAGUACACUUUUACCUUUCAGUUUCCUAUUGUCCACAGGUUUAUCAAUGUCAUUUUCAUCUGGUUUUGCUUUAUCCCCUGCCUUCUUUCCAAUUGAGCUGCCUCAUCCUUACUCUUUGCUUUUGGAAUCCAUUCAUGGUUCCUCUGUGCAGUUGUUUCUUCUUUUCUGUUUGUUUUGGUUGAUAUAUGUCUUCCCUUGGUUUAUCUUGCAUUUUCUUAUGCCAAAACUCAUUAGAAGUGUGCCUAAAUCUAAUGCAAUUACCACAAUAUUUUGGUUUCCAUUCAUAGUCUAUUUGUUGGACUAUGAUCCCCCUCUUUGUUUGAAGCUCAAACCUGUCUGCUAAUGGCUUAAAUAUAUCAGUCUCAGCCAUCACUCUAGCAUAGGACACCUUUCCUAAUUCUGCUGUAAACUUAUCAGUAUAUAAAGGUUUUCCAACCACACUAGCUAACUUGCUUAAAGCUUCAGUAGACCAAAAACCCAGAGGUAAGCCUGGGAAUGUGAUCUACAAGGGAAUCACACUUAUGCUCCCUAGAUCAAACUUGAAGUCCGUUCUCCAUUGUUGCAACACAAGUGACUUAUUGUGAAAUGUGUAAGGACCUGCUUGUAAAACAAGGUCCUUAUCCUCAGCAUUCUCGAAUCUGAAUAUAUAGUACCCAUCCUCAUGGUACAUUAUUUGAGGCUUUUCAACAAAAAUCCACAUGUUAGUGACAUAAUUUUCCCUUGUUUUUUCGUAUGGAUCCUCCCCCAGCACAAACCCAAUCUGAGCAUUGCUCCAAUAAGCCUCCAAUUCCUUUGUAUCCUCAUCAUCAAUUUGCACUACAAAGGUUCCAUCACUCAUAGCAGGUGGAAUGUAGCUCAGUGUGUUGCCUUUUUGAGAGCUCUUAUUCUUCUGCAUGGAAGCCUUUUUCCUUUCUUCUCCCCCUGGAUCUACUACAUCUUGCUGUAUUUGAGUUGAAUUUGCAUGUGCUGAGAAUUGCAAUCGUCUGUGGACUAGUGGUUGCUCCAUUGUUUCCUUCACUUGUGUUUGCUCUUCGCAUUUUUCAAUUUCUUCCCUAAUUGGCUGAAGUUUCUUAGGUAAAAAACUUUCAAAAGUUACCUGAAUUAGCCUCUGUCGAAUUCCCGUGUCCGGCGUUACUAUCGUACCAUUUCUUCCUUCGUCUUCAGCUGGGUUAUGAAACAUUGUGGGUGCAGAGCCCAUACCUGUUAACCAGCGAGUAGGCUGGUUGAGCACUGGUGUUUCCUUCUUACUAUCAUCUUCCUUAUCCUCCAUUAUCGAUUGUUGCUUCUUCCUUUGUUUAGACAUUGCGGAAGCGCAGGUCAGCUAGCCUUGCUAACAUGCGCCUGUAGAGCACCUCCAUUAUCGAAUUGUUGCUUCUUCCUUUGUCUAGCCAUGGCAGAAGCGAAGGUUAGCUAGCAUAUUAUUUGUUUAAUAUUUUUGUCUGCUAUUUUUUUUGUAAUAUAAUAGAAGAUAUAUUUUUUUUAAUUUUUUUAUAUUUUUUCAAUAAUAUUGUUUGAAUUUUAACAAAUAGAUAUACUUGUUAUUUCAAAAAAUAAAAAAGAAUAUGAUUUUUAAAAAUAAAAUAAAGAAAUUAACUAAGUAAACCAACUCUCACCAAUGUUUUAGUAGUUAAUUUAGGUAGUUUCUUUCUUUGUUAAUUUUUAAUAGAUAAUUUCUUUGUUAUUACUAUUAUUCCAUAAGAAUUUUUUCUAGACUACCACUUGGCUUAAGGAGAUGACUUUAUCUUCUCCUUUUAUUCUAUUGUUUCUUUAUAUAUUAUCUAAAUUUUAAUGAACAAAAUCUCUGUAAACUAACGGGACUUAUACAGGGAGCGCACUGAAUCACUUUUUUAUUAUAUAUAUAUUUUAUUAUAUCAUCUAAUAUUUAAUAUUAUUACAUUGUUAAUAUGAAGAUUUAUUAGCAUAUUACUUUAUUAAAUAUUUUUUUUGAAAGUUUUUUUUGUUUUAUUUAUUUUAAAAUAAUUUUAAAACUCCAACUUGAAACUAAUCCCCAAUUUGAAUUGGUAAUUAUUAUUUUUAAUUCAAUUUUAUUUUAAAAUUAUUUUAAAACUCCAACUUGAAACUACAUCCAGAUUUGAAUGGGUAGUUUUCUUCUCUUUCUUUGAAUUUUUUAUAGCUAAUUUUUAUUUCCUUUUUUAUAGAUAUGUUUUUCCUUUUAUUUUAAAAUAAUUUUUAAAAAGUUCAACAUGAAACUACUCUCACCCAAUUUGAAUGGGGAAAAUAUUAUUUUGUGUUUUUACUUUUUAUAGAUAAUUAUAAGAUAUCUAUAUUUAUUAAUUCAAUUAGUGUAACCAAUUAAUUCAAAAUUCAAAGAAAAUUAGUUAGAAAAGUAGUUUAUUUUGUAUUUACAAAUCCACUUGGCAUUUUGUGGAUAAGAGACUUGUCUUAAUGUAGUGUUUUUGCUUCUCCUAUUAUAUAUAUAUUAGUAAUUGUACCCGCGCGAUGCACAGUUAUUAAUAAAAAAUAUUAAUUAAAUUAAAUUAUGAUCGGUCUUGUUCGAUCCUAUUAAAUUAUAUUGCUUUAAUAAAAUUCAAUUAUCAUCUUACUUGUCAAUACGAUAUACCCAAUAAUGAAAUCUUUAUAAAAUCAAAGGUACUUAUAUAGUUAGUGAAUUACUUUUUUGUUCUAUAUUUAUUUUUAUUAUAUUAACAAAAAUUUAAUACUCGCUUUCUUUUUGUCAUAUAUGAGAAGAUUUAUAAUUUAUUACUUUUGAAAUAUUUUUUUCAUUUGAACUUUUAUUACUACUACUGUUGUUGUUGUUGUUGCUGCUACUACUACUACUACUACUAUUUUAAGUUUUUAUCAUAAAAUAAUUUUAAAACUCCAACUUGAAACUACUCCCCAAUUUGAAUAAAUAGAAUAUUUUUUGUGUUUUCAUUUUUUAUAGAUAAUUACAAUAUAUCUAUAUCUAUUAAUUCAAUUAGUGUAACCAAUUAAUUCAAAAUUUAAAAAAAAAAUAGUUAGGAAAGUAGUUUAUUUUGUAUUUACAAAGCCACUUGGCAUUUUGUGAUUAAGACACUUGUCUUAAUGUAGUGCUUUUGUAUUUUGUGUAUAUUAAUUGCUUAAUAUUGUUACAUUAACAUAUGAAUUAUUAAUAAAUUACCAAUUUAGUAUAAUAACUAUUCUCAUAUACACACACGCACUACUACUACUACUACUAUUAUAAUAUUAGGAAGAGAUUACUUUUCAAUUAUUUUUUUUGGUCAUUCAGAAUUUAUUAAUCACCAAAGAUGUUGCAAUACAACGUCAUAGUCCAGCUUAUGCGCAGCUGACUAUCUAAUCAUAUAUAUCUAACUAACUAUCCCCUGUAACUAUAAACUUCACUGUAUUUUACAAGUUAAAUUGCUGCAUCGGCUGUCUAAGUUUAGGAUUUCCUCUAACAUUACAUAUAUAUGCAAGUUCACUGACUAAAACUUCACUGCUACGAAAGAUAUUCUCAAAUAUACGCGAGUUUCUUUCCAGCCACAGAGCAUAGUAUACUUCAGCAGUCACCAUUUUGAAUAUGUUGGCUCUACUUGACUUCCCUUUAGCUUUGCUAAUUAGCCACUGGAGUCUCUGGUCCCAGUUCUGUGUUCUGGGAUGCUCCUCUUGAAUCCAAUUCAUUGUUUGCUACCAUAGCUCUAUUGAAUAUGAGCAAGAAAGGAAUAUAUGAUCUAUGGUUUCUGUAUGGUUCUGACACAACACAUAUAUCUGGUCUACAUUCAUUCCCCAUUGUAUUAGCCUAUCCUUGGUUGGAAGUCUGUCAUGAAGUACUAACCAUAGGUUGAACACAGCUUUAGGUCUGGCAUAAUUCUGGAUAGUUAAGUUCUUCCAAGAGACUCUCGGUAAUUGCCCUAUCUGUAAUAGAUAUAUCUGCCCGAUGGAGCAUACUUGCAUAUUGAAGCCUUGGCAUUGCUGCAAAAUACCUCUUGCUGCUAUGAUCCUUCUGACCAGCCAACUAGCAUGGCUGGGAAUUGGCAUAUUCUCUAACUGGUGCAGCUUUAUAUAGACAUCAUUUAUCCUUUUUAUCCACAACUUGUCUUUUUUGUGAGCUAUAUCCAAGCAGAGCUUUGCAAUUGCAGCUUUGUUCCACAGAGAUAAGUUAGUAAUAUUCAAUCCACCAGUUGAUUUAGGAGUACACAUUCUCUCCCAAGAUACAUAAGUUUUUUUAGUGAUGGCAUUUGAUCUAGAUCAGAUAAAGCUUCUACAUAUUGCUUCAGUUAGCUUCAUUAUUUUAGCUGGAAUGAUGAAUAGUUGAGCCCAGUAUGCUUGUAUUCCAAACACCACAGAUUGGACAAGUUGCAGUCUCCCGGCAUAGGACAGUUUCUUGGCAGUCCAUGAUGUGAUCCUAGCAGUAAUAUUUUCCACUAAUGGUUGCCAUUGAAUCAGUGACAUCUUCUUGGUGGAUAAAGGAAUGCCAAUAUAUUUGAAAGGUAAUUCUCCAUGAACAAAACCAAGGUGAUCAAUAAUCUGCUUUUGCACUUCUUGUUUAACUCCUCCAAAAUAUACUAAGCUUUUGCCCAGAUUAGCCUUCAGUCCUGAAGCUUCUCCAUGAACAAAGCCAAGGUGAUCAAUAAUCUGAUAUUGCACUUCUUGUUUAACUCCUCCAAAAUAUACUGAGCGUUUGCCCAGAUUAGCCUUCAGUCCUGAAGCUUCAGAGAAUUGAGAGAAAUAUUGGAACAUAGCUAUGACAGACUUGAUAUCUCCUUUAGCAAAUAAGAGUAAAUCAUCUGAUAUUGCACUUCUUGUUUAACUCCUCCAAAAUAUACUGAGCGUUUGCCCAGAUUAGCCUUCAGUCCUGAAGCUUCAGAGAAUUGAGAGAAAUAUUGGAACAUAGCUAUGACAGACUUGAUAUCUCCUUUAGCAAAUAAAAGUGAAUCAUCAGCAAAGAUUAUGUGAGUAAUGCCCAGUUUGUUACAUCUAGGGUGAUAGUGAAAAGUUUGAUCUUUCCUUAGUUCAACCAGUGAUCUGCUAAGGUACUCCAUGACUAUUGAAAAUAGGAAUGGAGAUAAUGGAUUACCUUGCCUGAGGCCUUUAGCAGCUUCAAAUGGUUCUGUUGCUUCUCCAUUAAUCAGCACUGUAAAGCUUACUGUUUGAACACAUUCCAUGAUCUAGUUAGUGAAUCUGGUUGGGAAACCCAUCCCCUCCAUUACUUGUUGUAGAUCCACUCAACAUAAUUAUAAGCUUUCUGAAGGUCAAUUUUAAUCAUACAUCUGGGAGUCACAUGAGCUCUGGUAUAGUUACAGAAUCAUAAGCUUUCUGAAGGUCAAUUUUAAUCAUACAUCUGGGAGUCACAUAAGCUCUGGUAUAGUUUUUGAUCAAAUCAUGAGCCAAGAUGACAUUAUCAGCAAUCUUCCUGCCUGGAAUAAAACCUGCUUGAGACUCACAAAUGAUAAUAGGCAUGAGCUUCUGUAGCCUGUUGGCCAGGAUUUUAGAAAUCAUUUUGUAUAGUAAUGAGCAGCAUGCAAUUGGUCUAUACUCUUUAUCUGUGGAUGGUCUGGAGACUUUGGGGAUUAAUGUAAUAGUGGCACAGUUUAUUGGCUUAUACGUCUUGGUUGUUUGGAAGAACUCCUUGAUUGCACUUAUGACCUGCUUGCCAAUAAUGUUCCAAGACUUCUUGAAGAAUACAACAUUAUAGCCAUCAAUUCCUGGAGCUUUAUCAUCCCCAAUUGCUUUUAGACUCUCCAUAAUUUCAAGAUCAGUAAUAUCAGCAGAUAACUCCUUCUCUGUUGUUGUGUUACGAUUGGGCCAUUAGCCAUACACAUUCUGUUUAUAGCUGGAAAGAAUGUAGCUGAUGAUCCCAUUAGUGACUUGUAGAAACCAAUAAUCUCCCUUUUAAUGCCUGCAGGUGUAUUAACUUUAUCUCCCAGUGCUGUACUGAGUUCUGUGAUCUGUUUAUAUUGAGUUCUUUCUUUCAGGACAACAGAAAAGUAUUUGGUAUUAGAAUCUCCAAGUUGAAUCCAUUUUGCUCUAGCCUUCUGCUGUAAUAUAAGUUCUGUGAUAUGUUUAUAUUGAGUUCUUUCUUUCAAGACAACAGAAAAGUAUUUGACAUUAGAAUCUCCAAGUUGAAUCCAUUUUGCUCUAGCCUUCUGCUGUAAUAUACUUUCUUCAAUCAAUGACCAUCUUUCUAGCUUCAAUACUAUCUCUUUCUCUUUCUGCUGCAACUCAUCAGUAUAUGUCAAUACCAUUUGUUCAUGUAUGUCUUUCAAUUGAUGUCUGCUAUGCUCAAUUCUCUGAGUAACGUUCUUAAACUCCUUAACAUUUAAAGUCUUUAGGGGACCUUUCAAUGCUUUGAGGUUAGCCCAUACUAAUUUCAUAGAUCCAAUGUUGUUAUAGUGCCAGUUAUCUUCCACCAUCUGCUGAAAAUCUUCAUGCUCAGUCCAUGCAUAGAAAAAUUUGAAAGGUAUCUUAUCAUUCCUAGUAACUGCUGCCAGUGUCACUAUCAUAGGAUUAUGGUCAGAGAUUAGAGAUUGUUCAUAUACUGUUUCCACAUGACUCCACUUGAUCAUCCACUCAUAGUUACAAAAUACUCUAUCCAAUCUGCUAGAGACUCUAUCAGUUCCUGGCUACUUGUUUGUCCAGGUGUAGUUGUCACCCUUCCAAGGUAGUUCUGAAAGCCCAGCCUAUUGUAUGCAUUGACUAAAUUCUUGAGUCUCUGAAUAUUUAACAAGAUUACUUGACUGUCUAUCAUUGGCAUAUAACACAACAUUGAAAUCUCCAGCAACUAACCAAGCUUCAUUUAUAGCUGAUGAGUAGUCCUGCAUAUGCCUCCAUAGAGAUAUUCUUUGCUCCAACCCAUUAUGCCCAUAUAUCACAGUGAGAUAGCAAGUGACAUCACCAUUAAUGCUUCUGACUCUGCAUUGUAUCUAUAUGCCUCCAUAGAGAUCUUCUUUGCUCCAACCCAUUGUACCCAUAUACCACAGUGAGGUAGCAAGUGACAUCACCAUUAAUGCUUUUGACUCUGCAAUGUAUCAAUUGAGCCUCUUCCUGGAUACCAGCAACUGUGAACAUAUUUGUGUCCCAUAAACCUAUACUUUACCAUUUAUAGCACCAUUAUAAUUUGUUAGAGAACCCAACCAGGAGCCAGCAGAUUAGCAAUUCUUCUUGCAUUUGUUUCCUUAACCUUAGUUUCUACCAAACCAACAAGGUUUAUUUUAUUUCCCUUAUAUACUCCCUAACUUCUUUUUGUUUAUACCUUUUAUUUACACCUCUAAUACUCCAGAAUAACCACUCAAUUGGCAGUUUUAAACUUUUCAAUUUGAAAUGCUAGUUUUUAACUUUUUAAUUUUUAUUGUAAAAUAAUUUUAAAACUCCAACUUGAAAUGACUCUACAAUUUGAAUGAGUAGAAUAUCUUUUUGUAUUUUACUUUUUUAUAAAUAUUAUAAGAUAUUUAUAUUUAUUAAUUCAAUUAGUGUAGCCAAUUAAUUCAAAAUUUAAAAUUAAAAAAAAAUUGGUUAGAAAAGUAGUUUAUUUUGUAUUUACAAAGCCACUUGGCAUUUUGUGGUUAAGACACUUGNNNNNNNNNNNNNNNNNNNNNNNNNNNNNNNNNNNNNNNNNNNNNNNNNNNNNNNNNNNNNNNNNNNNNNNNNNNNNNNNNNNNNNNNNNNNNNNNNNNNNNNNNNNNNNNNNNNNNNNNNNNNNNNNNNNNNNNNNNNNNNNNNNNNNNNNNNNNNNNNNNNNNNNNNNNNNNNNNNNNNNNNNNNNNNNNNNNNNNNNNNNNNNNNNNNNNNNNNNNNNNNNNNNNNNNNNNNNNNNNNNNNNNNNNNNNNNNNNNNNNNNNNNNNNNNNNNNNNNNNNNNNNNNNNNNNNNNNNNNNNNNNNNNNNNNNNNNNNNNNNNNNNNNNNNNNNNNNNNNNNNNNNNNNNNNNNNNNNNNNNNNNNNNNNNNNNNNNNNNNNNNNNNNNNNNNNNNNNNNNNNNNNNNNNNNNNNNNNNNNNNNNNNNNNNNNNNNNNNNNNNNNNNNNNNNNNNNNNNNNNNNNNNNNNNNNNNNNNNNNNNNNNNNNNNNNNNNNNNNNNNNNNNNNNNNNNNNNNNNNNNNNNNNNNNNNNNNNNNNNNNNNNNNNNNNNNNNNNNNNNNNNNNNNNNNNNNNNNNNNNNNNNNNNNNNNNNNNNNNNNNNNNNNNNNNNNNNNNNNNNNNNNNNNNNNNNNNNNNNNNNNNNNNNNNNNNNNNNNNNNNNNNNNNNNNNNNNNNNNNNNNNNNNNNNNNNNNNNNNNNNNNNNNNNNNNNNNNNNNNNNNNNNNNNNNNNNNNNNNNNNNNNNNNNNNNNNNNNNNNNNNNNNNNNNNNNNNNNNNNNNNNNNNNNNNNNNNNNNNNNNNNNNNNNNNNNNNNNNNNNNNNNNNNNNNNNNNNNNNNNNNNNNNNNNNNNNNNNNNNNNNNNNNNNNNNNNNNNNNNNNNNNNNNNNNNNNNNNNNNNNNNNNNNNNNNNNNNNNNNNNNNNNNNNNNNNNNNNNNNNNNNNNNNNNNNNNNNNNNNNNNNNNNNNNNNNNNNNNNNNNNNNNNNNNNNNNNNNNNNNNNNNNNNNNNNNNNNNNNNNNNNNNNNNNNNNNNNNNNNNNNNNNNNNNNNNNNNNNNNNNNNNNNNNNNNNNNNNNNNNNNNNNNNNNNNAACAUACUCAACAAUUUGAAUCAAAAAUAUAUUUAUUGCUUUAUUUUUGUUUUUUUAUUUUAAAACAAUUAUAAAACUCCAACUUGAAACUACUCCCAAUUUGAAAUGAUAAUAUUUUUCAAUUUUAAUUUAAAACUCCAACUUGAAGUUACUCUCCACUUUGAAUAAAUAGUUUUCCUACUUCUUUUUUCGUUUUGUGUUAUUGUUAAUUUUUUUAAAAUAAUUCUAAAACUCCAAUUCCAAUUUGAAACUACUCUUCGAUUUGAAUGAGUAGUUUUUCUUCUUCUUUUUUUAAUUUUUUAAUAUAUUUAAUCUUAUUUUAUUUUCUUCUUUGUUGUUUAUUUUAAAAUAAUUUUAAAACUUCAACUUGAAACUACUCCCACCCAAUUUGAAUGUGUAGUUAUAUUUUUUAUAUUUAUAUUUUAAAUUUUUUAUUAUAACUAGUUAUAAGAUAUCUAUAUUUAUUAACUAAAACAAAGUAACCAAUUAAUAUAUAUAUAUAUAUAUGGUAGUUUUUUUUUUUUUUAUUAUUUUCGUUUUAUAGGUAUUUAAAAAUUCAAAUAUACUAACUAAUAACUAAUUAUUAACUAAAAAAAUUAAUUAGUACUCCCUUAGGUUCAUAAUAAGUGUACAAUUUGCUUUUAGUACACGCAUUAAGAAAAUACUAAAUUAUAUACAAAAAUACCUACUAUGACUAAACUACCCCUGCUUAAACAUUUAAUGUGAGGAGAAAGAAAACUUUUUAGGAAUAUGCAUAUUGAGGUUAUUUUGUAAAAACAAAUUGAAUUCUUUCUUAAUUACAUAACUGGAUACUUAUUUUAAACUAAAAUAUAAAAAGCAAAUUUGACACUUAUUGUGAACCGGAUGGAUUAACUAAUUAUGUCAUGUGGCUUUUUUUAUGCUGCCACUUAGCUGAAGGAUAGGGCUUUAUCCUCUCCUUUUAAUAAGGAGAAGACUUUAUCAUUUCCUUUUAAUAAUAUAUAGAUAUAGAUAUAAAACUCUAACUCCAACUUGAAACUACUUCUCGAUUUGAAUGAGUAGUUUUUCUUCUUCUUUUUUCAUUUUUUUAAUAUAGUUAAUUUUGUUUUUUGUUUUUUGUUUUAAUAUAAUUUUAAAACUUCAAUUUGAAACUAUUCCUACCCAAUUUGAACGGGUAGUUAUUUUUUUAUAUUUAUAUAUUUAAUUUUUUAUUUUAAAAUAAUUUUAAAACUCCAACUUGAGACUAUUCCCACUCAAUUUGAACGGGCAUUUAUUUUUAUAUAUUUAUAUUUUCAAUUUUUUAUUAUAACUAAUUAUAAGAUAUCUAUAUUUAUUAAUUAAAUUAAAGUAACUAAUAUAUAUAUAUAUAUAUAUAUAUAUGUGUGUGUGUGUGUGUGUGUGUGUGUGUGUGUGUGGUAGUUUUUUAUUUUUUAUUAUUUUCAUUUUUAUAGAUAUUUAAAUUCAAAUAUAAUAAUUAAUAACUAAUCAUUAACUAAAAAACUAAUUAGUAACUAAUUAUGCCAUGCGACUUUUUUUUAUGCUGCCACUCUAAAUGGUAGUUUUUUUAUUACUAUUUUUGUUUUUAUAAGUUUAAAUUCAAAUAUAAUAAUUAAUAACUAAUUAUUAACUAAAAAUCUAAUUAGUAACUGAUUAUACCAUGUGACUUUAUUUAUGCUGCCACUUGGCUUAAAGAGAAGGUUUAUUUUCUCCUUUUAAUAAUUUAUAGAAUAUAGAUAGAUUAAUAUAUAACAAAUACUCCCUCCAUUUCAUAUUAUUUGACAUAGUUUGACUCGGUACGAAAUUUAAGAAAAAAGAAGAAAACUUUUGAAACUUAUCUUAAAAGUUUAAGGGGUAAAAAGUUUAUGGGGUCAUAUCAUUUGUGUGGCUAUAAAAGCUUCUUAUUAAGGGCAAAAAAGGUAAAACGAAGAGUUUAAAAUUGAAUUAUUAUUAAAUUUAAAAAUAUAUUAUUCAUUUGAGAACAAACUAAAAAGAAAAGUAGGUCAUUCAAUAUGAAAUAAAGGAGUAAUAGAUAAUAGAUAUUUCAAUCAACAUUAAAUCCGGUUCUAUGCUUCUUAUUAUAUACUAUUUAUCAAGUUAUCUUUCCACAACUUAAAAUUUUGAAUUUUCUUUCCCUUUAUUUAUUAUACUAAUACUAAUACUAAAACUAAUACUAAUAUGAGUGUUAAGUUACACGAUCUUCACAUUAAAGACAUGUUCAUCCAAAUUUAGAAAAUUGACCUUCCUCUCAUUUUUCACAUUUACUUUUCGCAACGUUUUUCAAUAAAAAAAUUCUUAAACAUAGGAUUAUUCCCAUGAAUCUAAACGCAAAAAAGUAUCUCCUCCAUCAUAUCAACAUCCACUUUGUACCUUAGUUGAAUUUAGACAUGAUUGCAUAAUUGUAGAGCAAUUUAACGAUAUAAUGCAUGACAUGUAAGUAGGGGCGAAGGGAGAGAAUCGGUUAGGACAAACUUAGUAAUUUUUGUUUAAAUUUUAUUUAUAUUAAAAGCUUAUUAAAUGUAAAUAAAUACUUAAUUGCGAACUAAGUAACCAAAACUAGCUAUAGAUUUGAUUACAAGAUUAGAGCCUAUAAAGAAUGAUGAAAGACUUGACUAGAUUAACAAUAAUCAAGAGACCAUUGAAUUGAGUCUUUUGAAGGAUUUUGAGUCAAAAUAUUCGUUAACUGAUCUUUCAAAAGACUACUUUCCCACAAAAUAAGACAAAUAGACAUUACUUGAAAACAAUGGCAUUUUGUACAAACAAAUUUAAUCAUAAACUAAGGUCGAGGUAGUUAGCAGUUAGGCAGUAUCGACGCUUGAAAUCUAGAGUUAGAACUUUUUGUUGAUUAAAGUAAUUUUGUGAAUAUUUCUAAUGUGAAAAUAUUCUCUCUCUUUUUAAAUUUUCUUUUAAAGGACGGGAUUAUUUCUUGAAAACUAUGUAAUUCUUUCACACACAAAAAAGAUGUAUAAACAUAUUCAAAAUGAUGUUGACAAAAUGAUUUAAAAAUAAUGAUAUUUUAUAAAAUUUUGUGGGAACAAAUUCAAUCAAGAAUUUAGGUUAGAGCGAUCAUUUUUUGAACAAUAUGAUGUUAACCUAUCAUUUAUUCAAUUUGAUAUUUUUAAUUUACGGUGUCAUAAAUCUAAUAUUAUUAUAAGAAGAAUCUUUCAAUAUCUAUAUCUAUGAGAAAGACAUAAGACCAGAAUCUCAAGGAUGUGCCCCUCGUCCUCAGGUCCAAGAAAAGAUACUAAUCGAAAAUGUUGAAGUUAAGCUUUUUUUUUUUUAAGAAUCUCACUGAUAAAAAAUAAAAGACAAAAUUUUGCAGAAUAUUAAAACAAUUCAUGUAGUGAUGAACGUACUUAGCAUGGAAAUUAGAGUUCAUCAAAUCAAAGUCUUAACUAUUUUGUUAAUUAAAGUAGGCAUUUUCAUUAGUAACAAAAAGUUGUAAAACAUUUUCUUUUUUUCAUUUGAGAUACUGUUAGCCCAAAAUAAAUGUAGAUUCGGAUGCUUGGAAAUGUAAAACUCAAAUAUUCAGUUUGACUUGGUCUCUCUCUCGCUCUCUGCGUGAAUUGGUGCCACCAUUGCGGAGUGUUCGUGGUGUCCACGCUCUUCAACGGUCGGUCUUUCUCCUCCUCCCUUUACUAAAAAAAACACAGUUGGGGUUUUUCCUUCGUCUCUGUCUCCCUAAAACCCUUCAAAAAUUUUCGAGAAAAUUGAAGUGGGGUUCUGAAAAAAGAAGCCAAGAAUUGAAAGAAAAUGGUGGAGAAAAGGAAGUUACAGAAAAGGGUCUUUAUUGAUGAAGAUGAUGUAUCCUCUCUAUUACAAAGGUUGGUUCUUUUUUGUUUUCAAGUUUGUUCUUGAAAACUUAUGUGUAUAUGUAUGUGUGUGUAUAUUUGUAUUGUUCUUGGAUAUAUUUUUUUAAGUUGUGCUAUUACCUUUACUACACUACGCAGAUACACAUAUGUAUGUAUAUAUGUAUCUACGUAAUCAAACGCGGAGCCAUGAUUUCAACUUUAUGAUUGCUAGAUUUUAGAAUGACGACUUUAAGUGCUACUAUCUUGAUUCUCAAUUUUAUAUUUAUACUGUUUGAGCGAAAGCUAGUGGGUUCGGCUGGACUUGCAUUCAGGCUUCUAGCUCCGCCCCUUAUGUAAUUCAUGUGUUUUGGUAUUGUUUAGUGAAUAUAUUAUGCAUAUUAAUUUUGAUUGUUUUGUAAAUGUGGGUUUGAAAGGUAUACAGCAAUGACUUUGUUGGCGGUGUUGCAAGAGGUGUCACAAGUUCAAGAUGUGAAAAUUGACUGGAAUGAAUUGGUGAAGAAGACCACAACUGGGAUUACAAAUGCCAGAGAGUACCAGAUGCUGUGGCGCCAUUUGGCUUAUCACCAUGGUUUGCUUGACAAAUUUGAUGAUGAUUCUGCUCAACCUCUGGUCAGUCCUACUCCCAGAAAUUAGUUCAUUUACUUCUUCAACAACUCUGUGCGCGCGUGUGUGCGUGUGUGAUGUUUAUGUGAAGGACUUGUUCUAUGAUGAUUAUUUGAAUUUGGAGUUACCGAUAUGCUUUUGAGGAACUAUAGGGCAUAUAUUCGAAUUUUUGCUGGUUUUUUCUUUUUUGUUUUCUUUUGAAUCAGAAAAAGAUGUAUGCUUUCUAGGAGUAGUUUAGCCUUUGAGAGAUUUAUAUGUUUAGAAAAUAUAUGGAAUGUCUUAUUUGAACUUGCAUAAUAUUGGCAUGAGAUGAGUUAAAUUGAGUGACAUAGUCAAUGAGAAUUCAUAUGGCCGACCUAAACUUCCUUGGGACUGAGGUGUAGUAGUUUUUCUUGUUGUGAUUCAACAAACCCCUAAACAGGCCCAUAUAGAGCAAAUUGGAUAGUUAAGAUUCAUAUGGCAAUUGCAGUCCGCUUGGGAUUGAUGUGUUGUAGUAGUAGUUUAUUUGAAUUUUUGCAGGUUUUUUUCUUUCUUUUUGUUUUCUUUUAAAUCAGAGAAAGAUGUAUGCUUUCUAGGAGUAGUUUAGCCUUUGAGAGAUUUAUAUGUUUAGAAAAUAUACGGAACUUCUAAUUUGAACUGCAUAAUAUUGCAUGUGUUAAAUUGAGUGACAUAGUCAAUGAGGAUUCACAUGGCCGACCUAAACUUCCUUCGGACUGAGGUGUAGUAGUUGUUGUUGUUGUGAUUCAACAAAUCCCUAAACAGACCCAUAUAGAGCAAAUUGGAUAGUUGAGAUUCAUAUGGCAAUUGCAAUUAGCUUGGGAUUGAUGUGUUGUAGUAGUAGUGGUUGUUGAUUUGGUAGAUGGAAGAGAAGAAAAUGUAGAGAGAUUCAGCAUGGUGCUCACUGAACCUCCGAAAUAUCUAACAAGUCGAGUCUCAUGUUGGUCAUAUAGAACGCCAAUACAUAGAAAAGGGGCUGAAGAAACCAGUCUCAUGUUGGUCAUAUAUUAUCAAAUGCUUUUGCUUCUUGUAUAUCUGUUAGUGUAGCAUGGAAGACGUCCUCCCGUGGUCUGUUUCCCUUCUCCAAAUUGGGAUGGAAUGCCGCAACUCAUUAUGUUUUCUGGCUAAAUUUUGGGUCAACUUUGUGCAUAUGUUGCCUAAGCUUGGGAUUAUAAACCUGUGAGCAGCUUCAUUUAUCUGCUCCUGAGAAGAUCCCUUCUUACUGUUUCAUAUUUUCUACUUAAUAAGUGGCAGCAGAAAAUAAUUAUGCAUUGAAUCCAGUGGUUAUUGUGUUCUGUGUUGAAAGCAUUGAAUAAUGUAUAUUCUCAAAUACUACGUAUUGGUAACUAAUGUAUGGUGGUCGAUAUCCAUUAUCUGUUGCUCAGUGACAUGAAUGAUCCACCUUAUUUUUUGAACUUGCACUGUGAUUUUUUUAUUUUAUGAUUUUAUGGUUUGAUUUUUACUUCUUUGAUGGCAGGAUGAUGAUAGUGAUCUGGAAUAUGAAUUGGAAGCUUUUCCUCCCGUAAGCAGUGAGGCUUCAGCAGAGGCUACAGCAUAUGUGAAGGUAAACGAACAAGACCUGCCCAACCUUAACAGCCGAACAGCUGCAAUUUAAGUAGUAAAUUAGUCUUUUUAUUUCUGCAGCACAAUAUGCUUCUAGGUGAAGGUCUAACAGAUUUCCCAAAACUGCUGAAAUUUCUUAAGUCAAUGAACUGUGCUGAUGGCUUUACAUUUACCUGUGAAGGAUCUUGAAUUUAGUCCAUUACACAUAUGAUGAAAUACAUAAAUGGGUUAAGAACGAGAUAUUAUUCCUCAGGUCUGGGAAAUGCACCUCUAAGGCGAUAACUACUUUUUGACAAGCUCAUUUUGCAUGGUUUCGAAAUGGAAUUAGUAUGUGGCUUGCAUUGGUUAUUUAUGUAUUUGGACUUGCUUUUUAUUUUUGAGACAAAUUUGCACUCGCUUUUAUUUGACUAUGCUAGGAUGCCAUCCUCUACCCUUAAGUGCAUACUCCUACCUAUUAGUAGAAUUAAUUGCUGAUUUUCAGGGUGAUACGCAUGCUUCUCUCUUUUGUCAUACAGUCAAUUUUUGUUGCUUUGGGCUUGGAUAGGUAUUAAUUGCUUCUGGAGUUCCAUGUGAUUCACAUAUGUCAAAUGGAAAUACUAUUGAAGCUCCAUUGACUAUAAGCAUACCCAAUGGGCAAACCUCCGGAACCGCUACAGAAAAUUCGCUCCAUGGUAUUUCAGCUUAUGGGACGAAAAUUACGGUCCCAGUUUCUGUGGAAAAACAACCACUUCCAUCUGUCACGGCUGCUGAGGUUGUGGACACUAAUGGGUCAGCUAAUUCCAACUUUCCUCCUCGGCGAAGACGAAAGCCUUGGUCUGCAGCAGAAGAUAUGGAACUCAUUGCUGCAGUACAAAAGUGUGGUGAAGGAAAUUGGGCAAAUAUAUUGAAAGGGGAUUUUAAGGGAGAUAGAACAGCGUCACAACUCUCUCAGGUUUAAUCUUCUAUGUACUUGGCAAUUUAUAUGUUCCCUGGUCAUAUUUACACUGUGGUUUAGCAAAUUCUUUUGACCUUGUCCUUAACAGGAGUUCGUACAAGUAUGUGCUGUUCUGCAGAUCGGGAACUUUUCGUUUCUCAUUUGCUUUUCUUUUUAUGAAAGUAAGUUUGAUAGAGGAUAAAUUAACGGCCAAAAGAAAUAUCUUUUGAUAGAGGACAAAAUCAGUCUCUUAUUAUACUGAUAAAUCCUCGCUUGGAGUUAAAAGAACGUUAAUCUUUGGGUUACUUGCAGUUGCAGUUUACUACAUGGAUCUCAUUCAAAUAAUGGCGCCUUCUAAAUGCAGCUAAAUAGUAAAUAACAAGAAAAGAUAUUGUCUAGUGCAGCUAUUUAAUUAAUCUGAGCUUGAACACUUGUUGUUAUUCGUUAACACAUCCUUUUUGAGAAGCAAAAUUCAUGAGCACUCAAGCCAAUAUUACUGAUUGCUCAAGUCUGGACCUAUCAUCAAAAUUUGCAAGGAAGAUCAAUAAAUUGAAAAUAAUCAGUUGUUUUCUGGACGACUAUGGAAAAGUAAAUUGGAGAAGAUUUAAUUGCAAAGUAGUCUCCUGUUUCUAGUUUCUUCUUGAUAUACCCAUGAGGUUCCUAUGUGGAUAGCUGACUGGGUUUUUUCGUAAAGAAUCAUAUUGUAGUGUAUGUUCUGUACCUUUGAUGGGUUAUAUACAGGGUUUCACCCAUCAUUAAUAAAUCAUUUACUUUAUCAAAAUUAAUAACUAGAUUUAAACAAAAACUAAGUAAAAGGGCCUCACCUUGUCAAAUGGUAAAUUUUGUAAGGAAGGUAAGUAUGUCCUCAUUGUGUAUGUUUUUUCCUAUUUUGAACAGUGGAAGCAACUGAAUCAUGGCUGGCAAUAUCCGAAGUUUCACAUUUUAGGUUAUAUUGUUCUCCCACUCACACUUUUUAACUUCAUGGAUGUUAAAGACAUUAAGUUUCAUUGCAAAAGUGGCAAAAUAUGAUGCAAUGUACGUUCUUAACAAUGAUAAAAUGUACCUAUUUAUAUCAUAGCUGCUUUCAUCAGGUGCUUCCCAAUUUCAUUUGUAGUAUUACCUAUAUAGAGGAGGAGGUAUGCCAAAUUUACUAGAAUAAAUUCAGUUUUCUAUGGUUCUAUUUUGCUGUACGAUGGGAUAAUUCUGCUCUCAUCUAUGUGGAUUGAGACUGUAAACCAUUUCCAAUUUUUUAAUAAACUUCUUUUACAGUUUUAGAACAAUAAUCCAAAACUUUGGUCUAGUGAUGUAGCACUGUUAUAUUAAUUUGAGGAUAUCUCGUCCUCCAUUCUAUUCCUCUUCGGUUGUAAUGAAUUUCUUAAGUGCCUGAAGAAGAUUUAGUCGGGAAUGUAAGUUUUAAUCGAGCUAAGUAAAUAUGGUGAAGUAAUGUCCAAAUACCGUUUCUCCAUGUCACAGCCUCAUCAUUUUAAUAUAACUGAACAUUGCUAGUGAUAUCAUGUUCCAAGUCCCCCGUCCCCAACCACCAAACCCCCCAAAAAAAAAGAAAAAAAGGGUACUCACAGAUAUGCCUUGGAAGUCUACCGUCAUCUUGUAUGAUUUGGAUGUCUUGGUUUUCCCAGGUUCCGUUGGUUAAAAUGGUGGAAAGUGACUGAGAUGCCAAAGUAUUUAUUUGUGGAACUAGCAAGAUCUAGAUGUUAACAAAGCAGUUAACGGAACUUGUAAAAUAAUUUCUGCCUGUUAUAAGAUCUUCUGCAAUGUAAAUCUACUUUAAAAUAAUGAGUAUUUCAUUGUGCAGAGAUGGGCAAUUAUUAGAAAGCGACAUGGGAACAUGGUGGGGAAUGGCUCGCAGCUGUCGGAGGCUCAGCUUGCAGCUCGUCAUGCAAUGUCCCUGGCUCUCGGUGGUAACUUGAGAGCAGCUUGUCCAAUCAGCACUAAUGGUAAUUGUCUUAACUGUAUGCCAUCAAUAAUGUCCAUAUGUCUGCUCCCACACUACUGUGAGAGAAUGGAAUUUAAAAAAAAAGAAAAAGAAAAAGCAAGUGGGCAAUACUGCCUAGAUGGGGGCUUUUAAGCGUGUCAUGUGAUAAGUGGAACAUCUGAUGUCUUUGACCUAUCGGCGUGUGGUUUAUACAUUGAUUAAAAUUCAACAAUUAGGAGCUAAAAUAUGAAUUCCUUCAAUAUGCUGGUAGGUUGCACUAUGGAAAACCAAGGGUUAAGUCUUUGCAGAUGUAAUGAAAUAUGAUCUUAAAGGUGUAACUUCAUUUACUUCCUUUCCAAGAAGACUUUUGACAAUCCAAACUCCAAAUGGUAAUUUCUGCAUGCACAAUAUCUUUAGAAAACAACAUUUCUGUGCUAAGUGUGGAAUCGGGAAUUCAAAAUCUUUUGUAGCAAUUCUGUUUUCCAGCAUUAUGCCGAGAUAUUUUUAGAUGGUUCCCAGAAUCUUCCCUUUCUUGAUUCCGCCUUUGUGUAUUGUAUAUUACUUGUGUACAUUGAAUAUCCAAAGUUAACUUACUCACCUCCCCAAUUGUUUCAUCCAUUUAUGCAGGCUCUAAUUUUAACCUAAAUUGUGGUAUUGUUUCAGUGGGGCCCAAUUCAGGCAGUGCACCAAGUAAUUCUUUGCAUUUUCCUGCUGCCAAUAAUGCAUCUGGUGGUCCAAUAUCCGAGCAUCAGCAAGAUUUAGUACCUUCAGAACCUCGAGUAAUCCCAAAAAAUCCGUUGCCAAAACCUGCUAUUAACCCAGAUUCAUUGGUCAAAACUGCUGCUAUGGCUGCGGGCUCCCGAAUUCCUACCCCUUCAGGUGCUGUUGCCUCACUGCAGAAGGCUGCAGAGUCUAAAAAAGUCGUACAAAUUAUGCCCGGAGGAACUCCAGCAGUCAAAUCAUCUGUGCCAGGUAGCACUAAUGGUUUGCCCAGUAAUGUGCACUUCAUUCGAAAUGGCCUGGUUUCUCGUCCCCCAGGUUGCAGUCCGUCAAAUGCUUCACAAUCUGCAGUUCGACCUAACCGAGGGGCUGUCCCAUCCAGAACAAAUGUGUCAUCUGGGGUUCCCGCUGCCCCUACAUCUUCUUCAGCAAGGGUACUUGAAGCAAACACUAAAGCAGUCGCUAUCCAAGAAAAUCCAACUGCUAUUCUGUCUAAUGCACGGAUAGAGAAAGUUGAAGUUGAUCGAGCUGCUUCAAUGGAUGCACAACAACAGGUCCGAAGAGAUCAAACUUUUGGUUCAAGCAACUUGUUGACAGAGAAAAUUGAAGGUCAAACUUCAAUUUUAGGUCACACAGUGAAAGAACACGGAGGAGAGAGUAAAGCUUCAAGAGUUGGGGCUCAAGAAAAGCUAAUCCCAAGUCUAGAGACUGCCAGCAAUAAUAGCAUCAGGAACCAGGGUGAGAAUAGCAAUAAGAAUGAGAACACUAAAAUAGUUUUGGCACUUGAAAGUAGUGGUUUUCAAGGUCCGGCACCUGAGACAUGUAAUAAAUUCUUCAAAGAGAGUUGAGGUAGGGGAUUUAGGUGAGGCACUGAGGAUCGGGGAGAGUAAAAUGGAGUGACUGGCCGGAUGUGCCCUGUAUGUAAUGUCUAAUUCGCACCUGCUGUUUUGUGCUUCAGCUUUCAUCUAUAUAAAUGUAUUCUCCUAUGGUCUUGUCUAUAUUUAGAUGACAAUUCAAAAUUCUUUUAUACGUUCCCUUGUUGAGCGUUGAUUAUCUCCGGGUGGUUGUUAUUUUUUGUAAGUAAUAGUGGCAUAUCUCUAGCCGAGGGUCUAUCAGAAAUAGCGCUUCUCCCCUUCCAAGGUAGGGGUAAUGCUGCGUACAUCUUAUCCUCGUGUGCAUUCGAAUCGGUUUAUCGAUAAAUCGAAUCGAUUAUUUGUUAUCGGUUUAUUGAUAUCAGUUUAUCGGUUUAUCGAUUCGAUUUCGAUUUCAAAAAAUUUUCCUUAUCGGUUUAUCGAUUCGAUUUCGAUUUUUGCCAUUCGGUUUAUUGGUUUAUCGAUAAAUCGAUAAGAUAUAGUAAAAAGAUAAAUAUACCCUUAUUUUAUAAUAAUAUUCAGUGCCUAACCCUUCGCAUAUAUACUGCUAUACAAUAAAUUACUUACAGAAUUGGCUAACCCUAACCUGCGCAGCUUCUUCUUCAUCUUCUUCCUCAUUUUCUCUUCUUCUUCCCCAACAAACAUUAAGCUCGUUUAAUUACUUUUGAUUUUUCGGGAUUUUCACAUAUAUACUGCUAUACAAUACAUUAGUUACAGAAUAGUACUACUACUUUGGCUAACCCUAACCUGCGCAGCUUCUUCUUCAUCUUCUUCCUCAUUUUCUCCCAAACAUUAAUAAGAAACAUCGCCGCUCUCUCCCACUUUGAAGUGCUUUUUGUAAGUUCUUUUCAUAUUUCAGGUCAGCUUUAUUGUCAUUUUUCCCCAAUUUCUUUUUUUCCCCAAUUUGUUUCGGUUAUAAUUUUUUAUAUAUAUUCUAAGUGGCUAUUUGUUAUUAUUAUUUUACAUUGGUCAUUUAUGUGAAACACGAUUAUUUUGUGGCAACUCAAGUGUUUGGGAAGAUUUAGUUCUUUAACCAUAAAAUGUUUAUCUGGCUUCUGAUCUUAGCUGUCUGUAGAUUUCUAUAGUUGAUCUUACCUUUAGAUGCCUCUGUUAUGCACAUCACGUAAAGCGGGAUAAAGAUAAAUUUGCAAGUAGAAGCAGAAAAUGUAUGUUUGUGGGAUACCCAUUCAAAAAGAAAGAAUGGAGAUCGUAUGCUGCAGAGAGAGAUAAAUCUUUCUUAUCUGUCUUGUUAUAAGAACUUUAAUAAGAAUACAUUUAUUUUGGUAGUAACGUUUAAGUUCAUAAGACAAUCAAUUGUAUUUCUUCUCUUAGUCUUACAUCAAGUUAAGUACAUUUCAGUUUUAAUUUACCUCGAAAACCAUAUGAAAGUAAAUAAGAUUAUCCUUGAAUAGAAACAGAAACAGUUUUGGCAUUUUGAGCUAAAAACGAAAAAAAAAAAGGGAAAAAAGCUUGGCUUCAUACUUUACUAUUUUUAGAAAAUCAUGGAUGCAUAGAAUCUUUUUUCUUUUCUUUCUUUCAAAAGCAUUAUCAAUUUGAUAUACAUGUCUAUUCUAUUGUAUGAACCAUAUUAUAUUCUUUAUAGUACCAUAAAGAUUUAAAACACAAUAUUAUUAAAGAUUUGCUCGCAAUGUACAGUUUUGAAUCGUAAAUAUAAUUUCUUCAUGAAAUAUUAAUCUAUAUUUAUAUUUAUACUAUAUUAGAAGUACGAAUAUACUUAGUGACAUAUCGUUCGUCUUUUAUCCUUUAAAAAUAAUUUUCACAGUAAACUUACAUUUGAUUAUUUUUCUAAUAUAAAGGACUUCAAAAUCAAAUAAUAUUCUGCUUAUUAAAUCUUUCGUUUGUUUGGAUCGUGUAAAAAUUCAUAAUAUUUAGGAUUUUAAAUUUAAUAUAAAUUUUAUUUUGUAUAAAAAAUUUCUUAUUUGACCAACAUUUAUAUCCUUAUGCACGGACUUAAUUCUUUUUUGGAGUUUAAUACGUGGCACUUACAUUUUUAAUGUUCUUAGAUUCUUUCCCCAAAUAUUAACAUAAUAGAAUAUCUAAAAAUCAGAGGAAAUCAGCAAUGCAUGUUCUUUUUCGUUUUGACUUUUAAGAGUUAACUAGUAUUAAAAUCUGUGGGACGUGCGAAUAAUAUUAAAAAGAAUAUUAAUCAUAUUAUUUUAAUAAAAUUAUCUACUUUAAUGCAGUAUAAUCAAAACUAAAGUAAUCAAAUUAGAGGAAACUAAUUAUAUAGCUUUAAUUAAUUUUUGUAUUUAUUAUUUUAAUUUAUUACAUUAUUGGCUAUUUCGUAUUAUUACAUAGAUAUAAAAGCUUUUAUUAAUAUGUUAGUAUCUUUGUCCAUUACUCCAUUUUAUAUAUCGAUAUACAUUUUUAUUUCUCCUAUUUUUUUAAUCUUUUUUUCUUAUAUCGUUAACAGAUUUUCGAAUAUUUAAUAUAUAAAUAAAAUUUUCAUAUUUCCUACAUUAUUUUAUUUUUAAAAUUUCUGUGCCCUAGUUUGUAUAAUUUUUAUACUAUGACGUUUUAAUUAGUUUAGACAAGAGGGGUUGCUCUAAUGGUAAGCAACCCCCACUUCCAACCGAGAGGUUGUGAGUNNNNNNNNNNNNNNNNNNNNNNNNNNNNNNNNNNNNNNNNNNNNNNNNNNNNNNNNNNNNNNNNNNNNNNNCCCAAGAGCAAGGUGGAAAGUUCUUGGAGGGAAGGAUGCCGAGGGUCUAUUUGGAAAUAGCCUCUCUACCCAAGGGUAGGAGUAAGGUCUGCAUACACACUACCCUCCCCAGACCCCACUAAGUGGGAUUAUACUGGGUUGUUGUUGUUGUUUUAACUAGUUUUCCUUAUUUACUUUGUUGUCUAAUGUUUUAAUGUUUAUUAUUUUGUAUUACGUCUAUUAACGUAUUGUUUUAUAUUUUAUUUUAAUUAUUGAAAAUUUUCUACAUGAGAAAUUUCUUUCUAUUUUUAACAUUUUACCAUGUUUUUUUUUUUGUAAUUAAGUUGUUGUAUUAAUCACCAAAGAAAAUUCUUUACAUAACUAUAGUCCAGCUACACACAGGUGACUAUCACAAAAAGAGAGACGUAGCCAACAUCUAUUUACUAUGCCUCUAUUUCUAAUUACAAUCUAUAUAUAUAGAGAAAAGUAAUAGCUACACUUAUUAAAUUUUAAUGAACUCGUUCUUUUUGCAGUAAUUAUUUCAAUUAAUUGGAUCCAUUUGAUGCAUUGUUCCUUAAAAUAGAGCUCCAAAAACUGUGAAUAGCUUCUUUGUAAUAUAAUAUGGCAUUGAUUAUCUCCGGAGUUAUUUUCUCAUUAGUAUAUCCAAUGAAAGAACAUGAUUUGAAAUUGUAUAUAUGUUUAGAAAUGAUGUCGAAUUGAAUUGUACUUCGUCUUUACUGUGACUUAAUUCUCAUUUGCUUAUUUUCAAAGCCUUUUUAUGCAUUUUUUUUUGCUUUUGCAAAUAAUAGAAGAUGUUAUUUGUAUGGUAUGCUUAGAAUACAAUUAUUCAAUUUUUUUACUACUUCUCUUUAUUUAAAUAGUAGUAAUUUAACAGUACAAAGUUAUUGAUCAUUUAGAAAAAUAAAGGUCAAAGUUAAACUUAAUUUUAUUCUUCUUUUUGUCAUUUAUUUUUUGCCUUCUCAACCGAUUGAAUUUUACUGAAUCAUCGAAUUCCUAGCUAUAAAAUAAGAGUCAGAAAAUAAAUUAACUUUAAGAGUUAGAUUAAGUAUUGCAUAAUGCAACAACGAACUAACAUGAUUUAAAAGAUUGAAAAAAUUAUAUUCAUUCUAGUUUGAAACGAGGAAUUAUUUUUUAUUUGUGAAAAGCAACAAUAUACAAUAAAUGAUAUUACAUAUCUCGAAUCUCAUUAAGUAAAGUCAAUAAUAAAAAAAUAUAUAAUAAUAAAAGUCUUCUAGCAACAUUUUACCAUGUUGCUAGAAGACUUUUAUUAUUAUAUUUUUUUUAUUAUUGACUUUACUUAAUGAGAUUCGAGAUAUGUAAUAUCAUUUAUUGUAUAUUGUUGCUUUUCACAAAUAAAAAAUAAUUCCUCGUUUCAAACUAGAAUGAAUAUAAUUUUUUCAAUCUUUUAAAUCAUGUUAGUUCGUUGUUGCAUUAUGCAAUACUUAAUCUAACUCUUAAAGUUAAUUUAUUUUCUGACUCUUAUUUUAUAGCUAGGAAUUCGAUGAUUCAGUAAAAUUCAAUCGGUUGAGAAGGCAAAAAAUAAAUGACAAAAAGAAGAAUAAAAUUAAGUUUAACUUUGACCUUUAUUUUUCUAAAUGAUCAAUAACUUUGUACUGUUAAAUUACUACUAUUUAAAUAAAGAGAAGUAGUAAAAAAAUUGAAUAAUUGUAUUCUAAGCAUACCAUACAAAUAACAUCUUCUAUUAUUUGCAAAAGCAAAAAAAAAUGCAUAAAAAGGCUUUGAAAAUAAGCAAAUGAGAAUUAAGUCACAGUAAAGACGAAGUACAAUUCAAUUCGACAUCAUUUCUAAACAUAUAUACAAUUUCAAAUCAUGUUCUUUCAUUGGAUAUACUAAUGAGAAAAUAACUCCGGAGAUAAUCAAUGCCAUAUUAUAUUACAAAGAAGCUAUUCACAGUUUUUGGAGCUCUAUUUUAAGGAACAAUGCAUCAAAUGGAUCCAAUUAAUUGAAAUAAUUACUGCAAAAAGAACGAGUUCAUUAAAAUUUAAUAAGUGUAGCUAUUACUUUUCUCUAUAUAUAUAGAUAUUCUAAAGAGUAUUUUCUAUCUUAUUAAUCACCUGUUAAAUCAAAAUUGUCAAAAUAAAUGAUAGAUGAUAUUAUAAAAUAUUUUAUUGAUAAUUUAAAUACAAUAAUUAUCUGUAUUUAUAUAUAACAUAUACACAUUAUCCUAUUAUGAACAAUACAGAAUGCCUUCAUUUUAUAUCAACUUGAGGAACUUUAUAAUAUUCAAAUUCAAAAGAAAAUCUUAUUAAUUACUUUUAAGAACAAUAUCAUGGUUAUAUAAUUUUCAAAGCUUCAUAAAUAAGGAAGAAAACAAGAAUUCAUUGUACUACCACUGCUUCAAUGGGAAAAGUAAUACAUUAAAGAUUGUAUAACUUUUAGAUGGACCGGACUUGCUUUCUCAUUACCAAGAAGAAGAGUAUAUAUACAUGAGUUUAAGCUCGUAUUCCCAAAAAUCUUUCCUAAGAAUAUUCUAAUAAUAUCAUAUUCCUACAAUAUAUCAUAUAGUAUUACAUCUCUAACAAAUAUAGAUACACAAUAUAUAAAUAUUAUAUUAACAUAUUUUCAGAUCUUGAUUCAUAAAAAAGAAAUCCAACAACAAAGAAGCACGAAGAAAAAUCAAUAAAAUCUAUAAUUAUUUUUAUAGUAUCAUAAUGCUUCUUUCAAUGAAACUUGAUUUUUGAAUCUCAAUUCAAAAAAAGAUUAUCUUUCAAUUCAAGAUUUAAGAUUUCAAUUCAAAAAAUUUAUCCUUCAAUUUAAAUUUUCUUUAUAUCGAUUUAAAUAUGUUUUAAUCUAAAUUCAAUAUGUUUAUUAUAGUGUUUAUUAACUUUUACUUUAACUUUUUCUUAUCACACCACAUGACGUGGUUGAUUACCUUGUUAUUCUUAAUUAAUUAUUUGAGUAAUUUAUUUAACUCUAUUUUUCUUUAAGGAUAAUAGUCUAAAAGAUAUGUAAGAGGUAGCCAGUUUAGGAGUUUUUUUUCCUUAAAGAUAAUAGUCUAAAAGAUAUAAGAGAUAUGCCAGUUUAGGAGUUUUUUUUCCUUAAAAAUCAUUUUUCAAGACAUUUGCAAGAUUCAUUUCAAAAAAUUUUUACUUUAUCAUAUAAAGCCUGCAUGAACAAACAUUUGAAAUUCAAUAAUUUAAAUAUAUCACAUGAUUCUACAAAAAUAUUUUUAGCUCUAAAGUAAAAUUUAUAAUAAAUAGUUUUAAUUAAUAAGGGAUCGUUGGAUAUGAACUAUCGAUUUUAUAAGAUACAAAAUAUUUAUUUAAAUAUUUUUUUCCUUAAAGAAAAUAUCUACCAUAAUUGAAUUACACAAAAAAUUUAAUUAAAGAUAACUAUAAUAAUGUAUAUUAUUCACAAAUAAGGUUAGAUACAUAACUUGUACAAAAUAAAAAAUUAUUAUUUCAACUUAAAAUUAGUGUGUAAGAUAAUGAAAUUUUAAUUGAUUUUUGCUCAAAAAAAGAUACCUACCAUAAAAUGAAAUUUUAAUUUUAAUUGAUUUUUGUUAAAACUAUCGAUUUUAACUGAAGUAUACACAAAUUUAAGUAAACAUAUCUAUGGAAGAUCUUGGACUACUACUUUCAUUAAAUAUUUUUCCAUUUAUAAUCUAAAUUUUUUAUGUUUUAAAAUUACCUAGUAGCUUCAUUUCAACUUGCCACUUGGCUUAACUACAUUGCAAAGUACUCCCUUUUUAAUAUAAUAUAUAUAGAUUUAAUUCUAAGUGUAAAUUUCUAGAAGUUUAAACUAACUUGGUAAUGUUAAUUUAAAAAAUAAAUCGAGCCACAACCAUAACAUGUAAAGUUAUAACUACAAUCAUUAAUUUAAUAUAUUGAUAAACUAAUAUAUUUGGACCUUUAAAAUAACUACAAAGUUUUUAUUAUUUCACAAGAAGAGGUCCACUUAACAUACAUAUAUUUUCAAUGAACUUUGAAUGAAACAAAAAAAAAGUAAUUAGGUUAAAAACAGCAAAUUCUGUCACCAUGCUUAAAAAGAUAUAGAAAUAUCAAAGAAAAAGGGUUUAAUACUUGGUUCAAACCCGAGAAAAGGAACAACGAAAAAUUCAGAGCACAUUUUAAACUUUAUUUUUUAAACAUAUAGUAUUUAUUUUAGAAUCUUGAUAAAUUAAAAUUAGAUUUUAUCAUUUUAUUCUCCAGAAAAAUAAAAAGCAGAUUUAGCAUAAAAAUUUUAUACUCCAUUUUAUAUCUACUGGAAUAGUGCGCACUCUCUUUUAAUUAAUAAAAAAUUAUUUUUUUGUAUAAUAAUAUUAUGAAUAUAGAGUUAUUAAAGAGAAGUUAGUUGAGGUACUUAACAUAAUAUAGUUGUAAUUUAUAUAAUAAAAUAUCUAUUAACCACAAAAUAUUAUACAACUAAUUCAUCAUUUUUACAUGUUCAGAAGAUAUUUAAAUUCACAAUUAUAGUUUCAAUCUAAUCAUUCUUAUUUUUCUGAUCCAAAUUAAUAUUUGAUUUAUCAAUUCUUAUUUUUAACAGUUUCUCUUUGUUGUAUAAAUUUAUACUGAUUAACAUAAUGCACACGUGCGUUAGCACUAAAACUAGUAUUAUAAAAAUUUCAAUUUGUAUCUUAAGAUCAUUUAUAUUGAAUAAAAGUUUGUCAAUUACCAUCUAUGCAUUGAAGGAGCUAAAACACCAUCUUUUCUAUAUAUCCACCUUUUAAUAAUAUAUUAGUAAAAUUCUAUUGACGAGUAUAAGUUAUUGAAAACGAAUACGAACACAUUCAUUACUUUUUUGAUCAAGCCAUAUAUAUAUAUAUACACAUAUAUAUAUAUAUAUAUAUAUAUAUAUAUAUAUACACGUGCGCACGUCUAUUUUUAUUAGUAGAUUACUUAAAAUUAGUAAACCGUUAUAAUAAAUUAGUUGAGAUCGUAAAAUUUUUUUGUUUAACCAUCUGAGAACUAAAGUCUGGCUAAUUCGAAUUGGUGCUACGUAGAGAAAAUUCUUCGAUCAGUAAUUUUUUAAUUUUUAUAACUUAAAACCGAAACAUCGGAUUAAAAGUGAAAAUAUCCCAUCAUAUUCUUGUGGAGAAACAAGAAAAGAAAAAGAAGCUGGUCAAACUUGUUUCCAAAGAGAAGCAAACAAAGGACACAAUCAAAAAAUGUCACAAUUUCUUACUUUUUCCCUUAUUUAAGUACAACUAAGUAGCCCACGAGCUACUUAGUUUCUUAAUAUAUAUUUUCCCGUUUGCUCUAGAAAAACCUUUUUAAUGGAAAAAUGCAAAAAUUAUCAAAACGGCUACACUGGUCGGAGACCCCAUUCCAGCCAUCUUCCCCCNNNNNNNNNNNNNNNNNNNNNNNNNNNNNNNNNNNNNNNNNNNNNNNNNNNNNNNNNNNNNNNNCCCCCCCCCAAAAAAAAAACCCCCCAACCCGCAUCGCCGCUUCUGCUUCUCACCUUCAAGGACCCAUAUCCAGCCAACCGUGGAACCCUAGGAGAAGAAAAUUAGGGCUUUGGAUUUCUAGAUUCCUUUUUCUGAUUUUAGUUCUAGUUGAUAUACAUCAAAAAAAAAAAAAAAAUCAGUUCUGCUAGUUUGGAUACUUACUCAAAAAUUGAAAAACGCAUCAAAAAAUAAUUUUAGUUUCUGUUUUUGAUCUUUUAUCAUUGAGUUGGACGGAGUCGAAAGUUGCUGUUUGGAGUCUCUGUUAGUGUCGAGCUUUCGCCGUUUGUGGUUCGGGUUGAAGUGCGGUUUGUGUUGCUUGUUUUGGUUUCACACGCUAUUUGGAUUUGCAUAGGCGGAUUCAGUUGUACCUCUUCAAAUCAUCCUAUUUAAUAUUAAGGAGAGAAGUCCAACAGGUUCAUCUCAUUCUCUUUUCUUCUUACAUCUAAGAUCAUGAAUCAAAUAUUAGUGACGGGUGGAGUUUGUUGGUUCAUCUUGGUUUAAUUUGUGCUGUUAGUACUGUUGUUCCCUCUGUAGUUUCUUUUGAUGAGUUUGUUUCUUGAAGUUUGAGUCAUAGUUCAUUUUGUUUGGUUUCCAUCUUGCUGCAGUACAUCAUAAGAAUUCUUAUUGAUUGUUUAAAGUAUUUGUCUCUGCUUGUGUUUGGUCUAGCCUUGAAUCCGAUGGUAAUUUAGGGCUAUAAGGAUGAUCCAGUUUACUUGAUUUCUAGUUGUGCUUUGAUUUCUAGUUAUGCUUCUUUGAAAUCCGAGGAAUUCAAUCUCUUCGUCCAUUAUUUUGUUUUUUUUGCGUUAACUGAGUUGGAUUGGAUUGGAUCUCCGAGUUAUUGGAACUAGGGAUCUGUUGGAUGUGUUGUUAAGCUUACCUCAUGCUGAUUCCUUUAGCGGUGCUUUGUGCUCUCAUCUCUGAUAGUAGUAUUUUUUAUUUUUAGGUAACGUUUAAUCGUCUUCGCCUUCUUCUUCGAAUCUGUUUCAGCUGUCAGAUUGUUGGGUUUCUGUUUGUUUAGAGUGAUUUUCUAGGAGGAAGAGUUGAUCGUGAAUUAUGGAAGAAAGCCAUGAUUUAUAGCUGGUUUCUUUAGGUUGAGGGGUAUUUUUGACCGCAAAAGAUUUAUUUUUCCUAUGAGCCGGAGGUUCCUAUGAGACGGGGGUCGAUUGGAAACAGCCUCUCUGCCCUUUCGGGUAGGGGUAAGGCUUGUCUACAUAUUACCCUCCCCAGACCCCCCCUAGUGGGAGUAUAAAAAACCUUUUUAAUGGAAAAAUGCAAAAAUUAUCAAAACGUCUACACUGGUCAAUAGUAUAUCGUUUUGUUUCGUACUCUCUCCCUCUCUGUGGGUGGAAGUUUUGGUUUUUCCUCUUCCAUUUUUUGUUUCUCAUUCGUAGCCCAUCCGUUCUGUUCUUCAGCUUUGCCUCCAUACGUCGUCGCUUGCCUUUAAUUCCGCCGGUGACCGGUAAGUACUAUUAGGGUUAGGUGUAUCGACGAAGUAGCUGAUUCUUGCAUAAAGAUAAUGUCUUUGAGCUUAUAUUAAUGGGUUUGGAUUGUUUCCUGACUUUUUUGUGAACUGGGUUUUUGUUUCUUAGUAAAAUAAGCAUUUGAACUCUGGAAAUUUUUAGAAUAUGGACUACACCUUUUGCUAUGCAAUGACAUAUCUUGUUUCUUAGCUUCCAUUGAUUUUUCUGUACUGGGUUUCUGUUAGCAGUUGGCAUUUGAAAUUGAAAGAGUGUGAUACUAUAGUUGAAAGUUCUUUGUAUAUGGCUACACCGUAUGUCAUGCUCCGUUAAUUCUUGUUUCCUCUUUGAACAUUGAUUUUCCUUGAAUCUGAUGGAAGAAUAAUUGCAACAACUUUAUUUUCCAACAACCGGAAAUAAAUUAUUGUAGCAUAAAGCAAUAACCAGUUUUGCUUCUUUGGAUUGUGAAGUAUUAGAAGAAAAUAGAUUACCAAAUAAACAUCAACAUAUAAUAAAAUUUCUUUCUUUCUUGGCCUUUGUUUCCUAUAACUUAUCAUCUGUUCAAUUCCAAGUGUGUUGCCCUCCUAUGCUUCUUAAUUGAUGUUCUGAAAAUACAUAUCUUGCUUUCUUAUAUCCAAACCACCACCAAUAACAACAUACCCAGGAAAAUCCCACUAGUGGGUUCUGGGUAGAAUGUAGGCAAACCUUACCUCUACCCUGGAAGGGUAGAAAGGCUAUUUUCGGGAGACCCCUGGCUCAACAGAAAAGACAAUAAUAUCAGAAAAGAAACAAAAGAAAAGGUCUGUCGCAACAAAAGAAGCCAGAAAGUCUUACAUCCCAAACCAGCACUUUUUAUUUGCCAUUAGCUCUUUUUGGGGCUUAUAUGUGGUCAUACUUCAUAUAACAGUCAUUUGUUAAGGGGACAUCAGUGAAAUGAUCUCUAUUCUUGUCAAUUGGUGCUUCAAAUAUGUUUAAAUACUGUUUACUUCUAUAUGCUUACUAGUUAUUCCUCCAAACAAUAGCCUCAUGUUAGUUAAUAUGUUCAGGUUCUUUUGCCUUCCGGUGAAUAUAUGUGCGGGUUAUUUAGCCAUUGUCAUUGUUUCUGAUAGGUGCAAAAAGGCGAGGCAGCCACUAUAACAUAGUGGCCUCCAGGAGUGCAGGUGACCAGUAAAGUGUAUUAGCUAGCUGUCACUGGAGAGUGUUAGCUUGCCACAGGAACAGGAAGUACUAUGAUUGCUGCUUUUCAACUCCAUUAAACUGUACUAUAUUCUUCUUAGUUGGCUCAGCGCACGGGCCAAUGGCAGCUAGUUUAUAUAACUCAAUGUGCUUAUUUUCUAUUGAAUAUCAACCUGCUGCCUCUCCCAAGACCUGAAAAGCCACAGUCAAACUGCACAAAAACAAUAAAGAAGGUGAUGGCGAUGAUCGUCAGGAGAAGCAGGAACUCUGUAUGUCUCUUGCACGAAGUCCUCUCUUCCAGCCACUCACUUCCCUGCUCAUACAUCCAGAGGCAGACCUAUGUAGAUGUGUAUGAAAUGGAAGAAAGACUCUGUUUUUGACUCCAUCCUCUUCCGGCCACUCACUUCCCUGCUCAUACAUCCAGAGGCAGACCUAUGUAGAUGUGUACAUGAAAUGGAAGAAGGACUCUUUUUUUGACUCCAUUGAUACCAUUCACAGAUCAGUUCAACUCAAGCCUUUAAUUUCUCUCAAGAACUGCAUAGUCUCCUCUUCACCUGAUGAUUAUUGCGUUCCCAUUUCUGCAAUUUCAAAGAAGGGCUUAGAGUUAGGAAUACCCGUUAAGGUUGCCCGGUUCUUGAGGUUGUACCCAUCUGUUUUUGAGGAAUUUACUGGCCCUAAAUACAAUUUGCCUUGGUUUAGGCUGACCCAGAGGGCUGUUGAGCUUGAUAGAGAGGAGAGAGAGGUGUAUGUAAAAUUUAAAGAUGAUAUCGUUUCGAGGCUGAAGAAGUUGAUACUGAUGAGUGGCAGGGAAAAGAUGCUUCCUUUAAAGGUAAUUCAGGGUCUGCAAUGGUAUUUGGGUUUACCCGAUGAAUUCUUAAGGAACCUAGAAGACAAUCUUGAUAAUUGUUUCAGACUUGUGGAAAUGGAAGAUGGAUUGAAAGGGCUAGCUGUUAAUGUCGAUGGAAGUGAGAGUUUUUUAUCGAUGAUGCAGAGGAAUGCAAUGAGGAGAGGAGUGUAUAGUGGUGUAGAGGGUGAGGUGCUAGAAUUACCAUUAUUUCCGUCAAAGGGAUUGAGACUUAAAAGGAAGAUUGCAGACUGGUUUGAUGAGUUUCAGAGGAUUCCAUAUGUUUCACCCUAUGAGGAUUAUUCUGGUUUGGAUCCAAAUAGCGAUAUAGCAGAAAAACGAGUGGUGGGUGUGCUUCACGAGUUGCUUAGUUUGUUUGUUGAGCAUGCUGCAGAAAGGAAAAAGCUUUUGUGUCUUAGGAAACACUUAGGUUUGCCACAAAAAGUUCACAAGGCAUUUGAGAGGCAUCCUUAUAUCUUCUAUUUGUCAUUGAAUAAUAAGACUUGCACCGCAAUACUAAAAGAAGCUUACUGUGAUAGAGGGGCUAUAGAGCAACAUCCUUUAGCAAAAGUGAGGAAAAAAUACAUCAGUUUGAUGAAGGAGUCGGAGGGUAUACUGAAACGUAAAAGGUUAAACAAUAGACCACAUGAUCAGGGUAACAUGAAUAUUAAGGAUUUGGAUUAUACAGAUGACGAAGAAGUGAAACUGCAACAGAGUAGCUCUGCUCUUUGAGGGUUGCAGCUAAAACAACUUCUUCUUUUUUGUUUUGAGAAUGGUAACAUAGCUAAAACAAGGUCUUGGAUCUAAAGAAGGACCGUUUCAAGUUGGCAGCGGGGAAAUUUUUUCUUAAUCUGGAACAGCUCCCGAGGUGGGAUAAAGGCAUUUUGGGCAGAAAGGUGGACAUAGCGCGUGGAUUCUGCACUUCUCUCAUUUGUUAAUGGUGAUUCCAGUAUGAUGGCACUGACCGCAGAAAAUGCAAAGGGCACAUAGCAUGAUGUAUUAUCAAUGGAGUCUCAAGUCUUAAACAAGAGUACACGAUUUGCUCGCGAGAUACAUUAUUAGAUGGUUGAUAUGCUCUAUCUCUAUAUCCGAAAGACACAAUGCUACAUGUAUGAAGUGAUGUUGGAUAGUUAUUGAGCUCACUGUAUCUCAUUGUUUUCUCAGACAUCUAAUUUAAAUUUUCUUUUCCUUUGCUUCAUGCUUUCAUUGUUUGAACCGUGGCCUGUGACUUGUGAGAGUGAGACCUCAACAUGCUGACAAUCACUUGUGGAUUUAUCAGUUACAUAUGAUACGUCUACUUAAGAAGGCCAAUUCCAACAGUAGGAACAAUUAAAGCAUUUUCUUGAUCAUUUUGCUUCACUAGAACAAUUAAUUACCAUGCUAGCUAGAAGAAAUUCAGAUAGUCGAGUGUCUUGACUUUGUGGAAAGAUGGAGGUCUCAAGUGAAAAAAAAAGAAGAUAAAGCUCUGGACCUCCAGAAUUCUUCUCAAAAUAAAAAAGAAUGUAAAUGCUUGUUGUAACAAAUGAGAAACCAGACCUACUAGAAAGGGACUAAUCCAAGCACUAAGCUUGAAAUGACUGCAUACAGUAUUGCUUAUAGCAAGAGCAAGUUUGCUCUAACACAACGUGUCAUAAACUGUUACUUCCAAUUUGAUUUUUAUUGUCUGUUUUUUCAAAUGUAUAGCUCUUCAGUUAAGCGUACACAAUUCCCUGAUUCUAGAGCUAGGAUCUUUUGGUACCUUGAUAAUCCUUUUUUUUGGGAAAGGUACUUAAGAUAAUAUUUUGAGAUGAUAAUGAAAUCCACCCCUCCUUUUUCCGCUGACACUCUUCUUGAUUCUUGUAUGCAGUUUAGACUGUAUACUUAUAGCUGAAAUGCAUCCACUUCAGAUUAAGAUUUCCUGGAGAAAAAAUUCAUACAUCUCCAAAUAAGAAGAAUAAGAAAUUCAUCAACCUCGUAGCAAGAAAUAGCAGACUUAACUUGAGAUAGCAGUAUACUAAAAAACAAAACAAAAAAAGCAGUCCGGUGCACUAGGCUCCCACUAUGCGUGGUUGCAAGAAGCUAUUUUUACGGCUCAAACCCACUAAUCACAUGGCAGCAACUUUACUAGUAUACUAAAACAUGUAAAAAAAAUAGAAGGGCAGGACUGUUGUUUCCAUAAUCGAUAUUCACCAGCAGCAGCAGCAGCAGCAGCAGCAGGAUCUUCAAUAUGUUCCCUAGUCCAAAGGUGUUGCCUCUCCUAAUUAAAAGGGAAACAAAGCACAAUUAAACGUCCACUUUAUAGAAGGGUCUUCAUAAUGUGUUUGAAGAGGAUUCUUAAUUGUUAAAGGUAUACACGAGAUGUAGAAUCUAUGUCUGUCUAUCUUGUCCCUAAAGAACCAGGGAAUGGAAACAAAAGGACAUAUCUUAAGCUAUUUGCAAACGAAAAUUGAUAUGCCAAACCUCCAUUUACAUAUGCUGCAGAAAAAGAACUCUGUAUGAUUAGAGGCCAAGUACAACAUGGUACAGAUCAAGGACUGCUGCAGGCUUUUACCCUUCCCAUCUAAACUCUCCUUGUUCUCUCUGAUGUCAUAUCAAAAUUACAAUGGCAACCCCAGCCAAUAUACAGAGUUUUAACUAUUUUAUCCUGUAGGCAAUGAACAGUGAAUUUCAUUCCUGAUACAAGUUUGAUUCAACUUUGCGUAACCUCUUGAAGCAUCUCUACCACCUUCUUCAUUCUUGGUCGUUUUGCUGGAGUGGUGUCGGUGCACAUUAAUGCUACCUUUAGAGCUGCAAGCAUUUCUUUCCUCCAAGCAAAAGAAUUGGUGCUAAGCCUUGCGUCGAGUAUCUGCUCUGGUGUUUCUCCUCUGGCAGAUGCACCGUGAACCCACCUGACCAAGUCAACUCCUUCACCAAAAGCUUCAUCACCUCUGGCAGAUGCACCAUGAACCCACCUGACCAAAUCAACUCCUUCACCAAAAGCUUCAUCGACAGGUAAUCGAGAAGUAAGGAUCUCGAGCAAAACAACCCCAUAGCUAUAGAUAUUUCCGGGAGCUGUUACUUGCAUGGUAUAUGCAUACUCUGUUGAAGAAAAGGAAUUAGUCAGACACCUUAAGUAUAAUAAAAGAUUAUUAGCUGUUUCUUUCGAGCCAUAGAAUACCUGGAGGAAUGUACCCAACUCUGAAACUCAUCAAACCAGUCUGCAAUCUUCCUUUUAAGUCUCAAUCCCUUUGACGGAAAUAAUGGUAAUUCUAGCACCUCACCCUCUACACCUCUAUACACUCCUCUCCUCAUUGUAUUCCUCUGCAUCAUCGAUAAAAAACUCUCACUUCCAUCGACAUUAACAGCUAGCCCUUUCAAUCCAUCUUCCAUCUCUACAAGUCUGAAACACUUGUCAAGAUUGUAUUCUGGGUUCCUUAAGAAUUCAUCGGGUAAACCCAAAUACCAUUGCAGACCCUGAAUUACCUUUAAAGGAAGCCUCUUUUCCCUGCCACUCAUCAGUAUCAACUUCACAAGUACCCCACUUGUGAGAUAUCACUGAAUUUGUUGUUGUUGUUGUUGUUUGUCAUAUGUAGCUGAGGUACUAGGUUAGAGACUAUUUUUGGUGCUUCCAAAAUGUUGUGUUAAAAAUUCAAUGAACAAGAUUUGAUCAGAAGAACUGCUGCAUCAACAUAUUGUGGCAAUUGAAUGCAGAUUAUAACAAUGGAACCUUGUUUAAAUCUAUAAACUCAGCAAACGUAUUUGAAGUAGGCUUAUUCAAUAUGUGAAACCAGGUCUUAAAGAAAGAGCUGUUUAGUUUGCAGAAAUUGGUGAAUUUGAGAAGAACGAAAUAGUUGAAAAUAACAACAUGGCAAUUCUUUAAUUCACGAGAAAAUCUGGCACUCCUUCUACUCAAUAAAGGCAGGUCACCUCUUUCCCUUUAAUAAAAUUUCAAAUAUUAAGAAUUGACUACAAGAGAGCUAAAGGGGAGAGAAAAGAAGGGGAAACAAGAGACAACUAUUUAGCUACUGCUGCUAAAAAGUCAUCUAUUUUGGUACUGCUGUUAAAUCGCUAUACUGUUUCUGCAAUGCUGGAUUUACACAGGAAAAUAUGGAUGGCCUCUUAUUCUUCAACUUCACUCCAAAGAAGAAGGACCUCAGGGGAAUUAUAGAUCGAGGCCUUGCUUGUUGGUUUUUCAGCCCAAGUUCUUCGUCCAGGUUUGACAAUGUGCUUCGGAUUUCAUCUUGGAGUUUCCAUAUGCAUUCAAUGGCUACUUCGAGUUCACCUGCUAUCUUAUUGUUCUCCUGCUUCAUGUUUAAAAUCUCACCUUGAAAUUUUGCUGCUUGAUAGGCAUUCAGCACUGGAUCAUUCUCUUUAGACCCUGACUUUGACAGUCUUGUUAUCACAUCGAGAAUAUUAGAUAGAGAUGAUAACCUGUGCUGUAAGUCAUCUUUCAGCAUUGCAUUAUGGUCCAACCACAAUGUCACCUCAGUUUGUAUCUCUCUUAGAUGUCUAUAGAUUGGGCGGAUGCCUGAGAGUAGCGACUGUGGUUGACCUGUACCUUGAUUGCAUUCUUCCUUCACUUUCUUUAUUUCAGCUUGUAGAUCCUGAACUGAAGUUUGAAACUUAUGUAGCUGAUGAAAUGAGGUGCUAAAUCUGAGCCACAACUCUAUGUUUUCCUCCAGCAAAUCAUCAAUGUCCAUCCGUACUUUCUCCUCAACAGUGGUGAAGGAGUGUGUUUCAUCAACAUCAGUAACUUUGAUAUCUCCGUCAUCGUCCCCAAUAUCUAAGAUUCUUGUCUCUUCUGGUGCAGUUUCUUCCAUUCUCAUCUCAGUGGAAUGUGAGAGUGCUUUAUCCAAGAACUCUGUUUCAAUAUCUUUUGACUGAAGCAAGUUCAAUCUGUGCUGUAAGGACAGAAUCUGUGCAUCCUUCAAGGCAUUAGCAUUCUUUAGAACUUUCAUCUGCACAACAUAUUGGAAGUGGCUCGCUCUCCUUUUCUUCUCUGCAUCAUUGAGCUUCUUCUUCACACCCUUGAAAUUCCGAAGAACUGACGUGUACUCCUCAAGUAGUAUCUUCUCUCUGUCAUCCAUGCUGUUUAGGAACAGUUCUCUCCAGUUUGGUUGGUCCUCCUCUAAUCCCGAUUCAUCUUGUUCCAUGUAGAGCCUGUUGUGAACUGUCCUGAACUCUUGAUUCCCUGCAACAACUGUCAUAGGUUAAUUAAUUUAGUUGACAAAGAGAGAGAGUAUUUUUUUUACCAGCUUAAGAGCACAGGAACCUUGAUCUGGGAAUUCAUCCUUGUGUAGGUCUUCUCUCUUACUAUCUUUUAAGACGGAUGGAAGAUUAUCUAAAAUACUUUCCCAUUCUUCUAGCUCGUUAUCGGGGCCAGUGCUUGGAAUAUCUCUCACUUGAACCUUUGCUGAAUGUUUUUCAAGUUGGUUAUGCCAAUUGGAUUGUGGAAAGUCGCCAUCUGUUUUUACUUGAAUGAAAUCAUUGGUUUGCUCCUCUGACUUGAUAUUGUUCCGGAAAUCUAUUUUUCUUAAAGAAUUAUCUGAUUGCUUGCUUUUAUUCAAUUUGGAGAAACUUUCUGUGGCAGAUCCAACGGCUACAUUGACAUCAUGAUCAUCAUCUACCUUCUCUCUACCUUUGUCGUCCAUACCAAAGGUCCCUGAGCCACUGAUGGAUGCUCCUGUACCUUCAUCUUGGUCUGAUUUUUCUGGAGUGGACUUCUGAAGAGUGCUUCCUUGACCUUUCACCUGUAUGUUAUCAUGGUAAUUCUCUGAAUUGGAAGGAUCAUAUUCCAGCUUCUGAAGUAUCUCUGUGUCUUUAAAGAAUAUUGAAUCAUGACGAGGAGGAUUCGUUGUAUGAACAUUUUCCUUGAACCCCCUUCCUGAAAUCUCAUCUUGAGUAGCUCCAGAUGGACUAAUCCGCAAUAGAUCAUUGAAAUAACUUCCUUGGUCGGAAGAGAUUUUCCCCUCUUCGCUUGUAGAAGAAGCACACUUGUCUGCAACAUUGAUUCUGCUUGCUUGAUGUUCAUCAACUCUAACAUCUUUUGAGAUAGCUGAAUCGUUGGAUGAACUCAAAGACUGACUUUUGUCGGAUUCCUCCAUCUCUGCAUGUGGAUCGUCCCUCACUGUAUUGUUCGUAAAGUUAGAAAUGUAAAAAAAAAAAAAAUAGCUUUUUUUUUAACUUUGACAGAACUUAGAAAAUCACCAGUAAUAUCUGCAAUAUCUUUGCUUUACCUGCUAGCUCGUCUGUUCUCUCUUCUCUGAUAGCUGAGAAAUCAUCUGAAAUAUUUAUGCGUUCCCUUUCACGAAAUGCCUUCUCCAUCUUGAUGUCGGCAGCAUUCCUUAUAGGGAGAUCAUACUGGUUAAUCAGAUGGUUGGAUUUCUGAAUAUCUUCUUCUUUACCUUCCGGGGGAAUGUGCGAGCAAUCACUCUUCUCUGCAUUAGCUGUCGUGCCAGCAUGCUCUUCCAUUCUCAUAUCUCUUCUGAUGGCGGAUUCAUUAUCUGAAACAUGUAUAUCACUUUCACCAAAACUCAUUUCCAUCUUAACCUCUGGAGAAUCCCCCAGUGGAGAAUUUUGGGAAGGAUUCAUUGUAUAAUUUUGGUGGUAGGUUUUGUAAAGCUUUUCUUCUUUACCUUCAACAGAAAUGUUCAAAUGAUCAUGCUUGUCCGCAGCAUCUUUUGCCCCGGCUUGCUUUUCCUUCUUCACAUGUCUUUUUGUGGCCAAGUCAUCGUUUGAAACAAGGAAACUUUCACUUCCAACAAAUCCUCUCUCUAUAUUGACAUCUGGAGAAUCCGUUGAUGGCGUGUCCUGGAAAAAAUCAUUCAGGUGAUUCGGAUGGUUGGUUUUAUUAAACUUUUCUUCUUUAUCUUUGAUAGAACUGGGAAAUCGUCCCUUCUGUCUGCAAGAUAGUUUGUGCCCGUUUGCUCGACCUUCCCGACAUUUUUCCUGGUGGCUGAGCCAUAGUCUGUAACAUGCACGUCUUGAUAUUUGCCAAACCCUUUUUCUAUCUCAACUUCUUCUGCAUCCUUUGCAAAACUAGUUUUUGUUAAAUCGUCAUGAUCAUACUGAAGGUCGGAUACGGACAGCUUUUCUGCUUUACCUUUGAUGAGGUUAUCCCAAAUAUCCUGUUUCUUUGCUUCCUCUCCCAUUCUGAUUUGCUUUGAGAUCAUUGCAUCACAACCAGGAGAUGUGACACAUUCACUUUCUUUGGAAGCCUUCUUCUGAUUAACAGGAGCAGAACAGGGAAAAUCAUCACUUCCGUUAGCAAUAUCAUUUGUCCACCUUUGCUCCACAUGCCCGUGUUGACUUCUGUCAAAACCUUUUUCUACUACAUCUGCUGCUUCCUCCAAAGGGCCAUUUUUGGGAAAAUUGUCUUGGCCAUUUUGAAGAUCGGCUUUUGGAAACUUUUCUUCUUUAUCUUCAAAUAGGAUGAGGUUAUCUUGUUUCUUUGCUUGCUGUCCAAUCCCGACUUGCUUUGAGAUCAUUGCAUCAUAAUCAGGAGACUUGACAUUAUAUUCAUUUCCUUUGUAAUAGUUUUGUUGACUGGCAGCAGCAUCUUCAGAUUGAAAACUAUUAUAGGCAUUACCAAAUUUGGAGUCCGUGUACAUGGUAUAUUCAGCUUUUCCAGAAUGAUCUUGAUCUGCACAUAAGUCUGUCUUUAAUUUCUCCCUCACAUGUACACCUUCUGAUGCCACCAAAUGCGGGGUAGUCAUGGUCAUCAUCUCUUUGUCUGUCAACCCUGAUCCCUGGUUAGCUUCUAAAGUGCCACCCGUCUGUCCAUCUCGAGAAUCGUUGCUCAAGUGGCUUCCAACGUGGUUUUGGUGGUCAUCUUCACGACAACCUUCCAGUUGUUGCACGGCUUCUUUCUUCAGAUCUUCCUUACUAUUUACACCUUUGGAGAUACCUAGAACAUUUUCUCCAGGAAUGACUGCUUCAUCAACCUGAAACUGCUUUGCCUUAUCGACACCUGAAACUCCGUGGUUAGCUUCUAAAGUGCCAGCUCUCUUUCCAUCUCGAGUAUAGUUGCUCGAGUGGCUUUCCGCAUAGUUUUGCUGGUCAUCUUCAGGACAACCUUCUGCUUGUUGAAAGCCUUCUUUCUUCAGACCAUCGUUAGUACAAACAUCUUUGGAGAUACCUUGAACAUUCGCUCUGGGAAUGACUGCUUCAUGAACCUGAAACUGCUUUGCCUUAUCGACACCUGAAACUCCAUAGUUAGCUUCUAAAGUGCCAAUCCUCUUUCCAUCUUGAGUAUCGUUGGUCGAGUGGCUUUCCACAUAAUUUUGCUGGUCAUCUUCAAGAUAACCUUCCGGUUGUUGCAAGCCUUCUUUCUUCAGAUGGUCGUUUGUACUAACACCUUUGGAGAUACCUAGAACAUUUCUUUCUGCAAUGAUCGUUUCAUGAACCUGAAACUGCUUUGCCUUAUAAACACUUGAAACACCCUGGUUAGAUUCUAAAGUGACGCCCCUCUGUCCAUCUCGAGUAUCGUUGCUCAAGUAGCUUUUAACAAAGUUUUUCUGGUCAACUUCAAGACAACCCUCCUGUUCUUGCAAGAUUUCUUUCUUCAGACAAUCCUUACUGCUUAUACCUUUGGAGCUACCCAGAACAUUUGCUCCCGGAAUGGUUGCUUCUUGAGCUUGAAAGUGCUCUGCCUUAUCAACACCUGAAACGCCGAAUACUUUAUUGGAUGGCAAAGUAUCUUUGACGUCUUCAUCUUUCCUCUUAUUGUGCAAUUUCUCAGAGAGAUCAUCAAAACUGCAACUUGCUUCAGUAAGAUGAGGUUGGUGGUGAUAGUCUUUGAGAUUCUGAACACUGAGAAGUUCUUCCUCUAGUUGUCUUAUCCUCUUGCUCAUGCUCCCUGAAUCUUCAACCAAAGUCCCCUUCUCCUCCUCGGCUUUGGUCAGAUGUGAAUGAAGUUCAUUUGUCUCUGCUCUUAAUCUAUUUACAUAAGCAUUCUGGGACGAGAGUGCGCUUUCCAAAUAUAUGACUUUAUCAACAAGUUCAUCAACCUUCUCUGCCAAGUCGGACAUGGAAGAAGUGGCAGAAUUAGCUUGCAACUCCUUAACUUUCGAGUGCACUUUCUCUGGAUUAUGCUUCUCUGUUUCAGAAGUUUCCACUUGACGGUUCAGCUUCUUCAAUUCUGAAUCUGGAUUAGAAGACUUAUUUACUUCAUAGAGCACUUGUGGAUGUGGCAGGUGACUGACAAAUUUUCCCUUUAGAGUCUCAAAUUUUCCGAGGACCUUUAAUAUUUUUUGAUGCUCAGCGAUGACAUCUUCCACUGAUUGCUUCUGCUUUUCCUGCAACCGAGCCAAGGUGUCUUGGCAAGAGUUGAGAGCUGUGGCAGUCAUCAAUGUCCGAGCUUCUUCAUCCUCAAUCAUUGUGCCAAUGCCAAACUCAUCUUGCAAGCUGCUAACUUUUGUUUGCAUCUCGGUGACAUGUUCUUCAAUUUCCCAAUACCUCGCUAGCCCAUUUUCGUAUGAGCUCUUGAUAAACUCUUUCUCAGUCUGAAGUCCCAAAAUCUCCUUCUGAACCCUAUCAAUUUCCUGGAGUGCCUCAGACUUUUCCAGACCUGAAGUUGGACGAGCAGCAGCGAUUGCAUCGUCAACAUUGAAUUUGAUCAGUCCCUUCUUUGACAUUAAUCUUGAAGGUUUGGCGUUUCGUUUGGAAAAAGAAGGAACUUUUGGGACACUUAACUUUGGCGCGGCUGGUAAGCUUUUGGGAGGAUCAUUAGAUUCAUUAUGAGGUUCUAUUGCAGCAAGAAAAUGUUCUCCAUCUUCAUCCUCCAUCGACAGUUGAACUCUCUCGGGGUAAACAGUAGCAAUGGUUCGAUUAGCAGUCUGAAGAUCUUUGGAUAAAAGAUCAAAUCUCUCUGCCAAAGCUCUGUAACUCCGGAAAAAAUCUUCUACGAAGUUCAAAAGCUCAGGCCUUCUUCUGUAAUACAUCUCUGCGCGCCUUGCAAAGGAUUCUCCAUCCUCGUCUAUGAUUUUGAGUACAUAUUCAACCUUCUCCUCCAUAUCUGUAAAUAACAAGCAAAAUAAUCGGCUCUUUCUUUUCACUUCAUUUCUUUCUCUUUUGUUUAAGCAUAAGCAUCAUACAUGUCUGAGAACCCUUUGCAUUUAUAAGACAACAGAACAAAAGAAAUAGAUGUAGACUGUGAGUUAUACUGUUACAGUAAAGGGCAGCCCGGUGCACGAAGCAUCCCGCGUUACGCAGGGUCCGGGGAAGGGCCGCACCCCAAGGGGUUGUGAUGUAAGUAGCCUACCCUGAUGCAAGCAUCGGUGGCCGAUUCCACGGCUUGAACCUGUUACCUAUAGGUCACACGGAAACAACUUUACCCUUGCUCCAAGGUUCCCCUUAUGAGUUAUAUUGUUAUUCUGAUCUAAGAAAAUCCUUUGUUAUCAUUCUUUUUCUACUUUCAGUGUUUUCAAGACAAAUAGUAGGAAGCUAGAUUUAUUUAUAUUAGCUAAUUAUGCCUUAGCUGAGGAGUUAAAAAUCAAGGCAUUGUGACUAAGGUCCCAAGUGAGAAAUGCCAAGAUAUCCAACUUUAUCUUUGGUAGUGAGUUUUAAGUUUUGUGCACUAACAUAAUACUUUUACUCCAUCAAGUUAAGUUACCUACAUUAACAAGUACUAACUAUUUGUAACAAAUAUUAUAUGAUAACCCAGAAAAUAACCUGACAUAAUAAGUUAAUUACACUGAUAGUGGGAAAAUCUUGAAACUAUCAGUGUAUGUAAUUUGAACCCUUUGUUAAUACCCAAAUAGGAGGCAACUAUGCAACAACAACCAGUGAGUUCCCACGAAGUCUGGGGAGGGUAAGAUGUACGCAGGGGAAAGUAAGAUGUACGCAGCCUUACCCCUGCCCCGGAAGAUGUACGCAGGGGAAGGUAAGAUGUACGCAGCCUUAACCCUGCCCCGGAAGGAUAGAGAAGCUAUUUUCGAUAGACCCUCAACUAAAGAAAGAAUGAAAAUGUAACCGCAACAGGUAGUAAUAACAACAAGAUAAAACAAGAAAAUCAAAACCAAGAAAGCAAGUAAACAUUAAUUAGUAAUAACAAUCUAAGAAUAAGGAGAUAUCAUACUAACACUAAUGCUAUCGAGAUGAGCAAGACAUACGAAGAACGCCUGAUUGGCUACUAACUUACUACCCUACUCCUCGACCACUACACAUUCUUAUCAAGGAUCAUGUCUUCAGUAAGCUCCAUCUACGCCAUGUUCCACCUAAUCACUUCCCCCAAGACUUCUUUGGCCUACCUCUACCCCUGCUAUAGUAGUUUUAUUAUUUGGUUCAGCAUUCUAGUAUUCUUUCUUUUAUGGCUCAUUGGAACUACAAAAAUUUGCAUUAAACGUUUUGCCUAUACUGUUAAAAAAACACUAGUAAUUCAACAUUCUGUCAUUUUCUUGAUAAAAUAACAUGUUAUAUGGCACAGUUGACGAAUUUGAGUAGUUGAAAAUUCUCUAAAAGGAUUGCAUCAUAAGAAGACAUAGAAUAUAAGGAAGUGACCUUGGAGGUUUUGAUCCAGCCAUUUUGACUGCUUUGUUCUAAUAUGGCUAGCCCACCACCAUGAAUAUGCAUUUCUUGCUGCUCUGUGUAACAUUCUUUCCCUUCUUUUUUUCCCUCACUAUACAACUACUUGCUUUUCUUUAUUGGCCAUAACACAUUGUUUUUCAUCAUCUAACAGAUGAGAUGCUUUUUUCCCCCACUAUACAACUACUUGCUUUUCUUUAUUGGCCAUAACAUUUUUCAUCAUCUAGCAGAUGAGAUGAGAUGAGAUCCAGCAUAUAAAUAAACACAUUUAUGGUUAUUAAGAAUCUGUUUUCUUGAGAGGCAAAAAAAAUAAGGAAUUUUUUUAAGGAGAAUGUACAUGAUGUGUUGAGCAAGAAUGGAAAGAAGAGGUAUUAGAUCUCUAUAGAAACAAUAAGCAGCACAAGUGUAGGAACCCCAUUAACUAACUCAACAAUUGGCAAUUCCUGGAUCUGCCAGCUGAUAUAUAGUUUAACAUAACAUUAUGGCUUGCAUGUCCUUCCCUCUUCUUUUCUUUCUUUAUUUUUUGGUGAGGGAUGCAAUGGUUUGACUUUCUCCUUUUUUUUAAAAAAAUCUUAUUUGUUACCAUUGCGACAUUUGUCGAGGGUCUAUUGGAAAAGUCCCUCUAUCUUCAUAUCUAAAUCAUAUUUGUUAACGUUGGUAUAUUUGUCGAGGAUUUGUUGGAAACAGUUUCUUUAUUUUCAUAAGGUAAGGGUAUGAUCUGUGUAUACUUUAUUCUCCCCGGACGAGAUAUUGGAUAUAUGUUAUUGUUGUACCAUUACAACAUCUGCAUCAUCUUUCUAUUUCUCUUUUUGUAAUGUUGGAGGGGAGAAGAGAAUAUUAUUAUUUCUUUCGUUUAAAAAAGAAUGACAUGAUCUGAAUUCUAAGAUCAAAUGUUCUAAUUUUCGGUCUUAAUUCGGACAUUAAUUUUUUAAUAAUUUUAGAAUAAAAUCUUGGUACAUACAACAAAAAUAAUUACCCAGUAUAGUCCCACAAAGUGGGGUCUGGGGAGGGUAAUAUGCAGACAGGCCUUACCCCUACCCCGAAAGGGUAGAGAGGCUGUUUCCAAUCGACCCCCAGCUCAUUGAAGAAAGGAACAACAAAAACAAAAACAAAAACAAAGAGCAUUAGUAACUUCAACAGAAAUAGCGUAAAUAAUUAUCUAAACAUAAGAACCAUAAAUAAAAUAGCAUGCAAUAAUAUCAUACAACAACAACAAAUAACUACCUAAGAAACUAAAUAAAGUACUAUAAUUACAAUUUUUUUUAUAAUUAAAACUAUGUAAGAAAUAUAUCAAAAGGUUGUGAUACAAUAAAAAAUUAUUUGACCCGCCAAAUAGUCAUAUAAAUAAAAUGAAGCAUUAUAUAAAUUUUUAUGGUUCGGUUUGGAUCGAUUUUUCCCUAAAAAAGAAACCAAACCAAGUAAGUCAAUUUUUUCAAAUAUUAGAACCAAACCAAACCAAUUAAGUCGAUUUUUUCUCGAUUCGGUUUAUGUAGGAUUUUUUCGAUUUUUCGGUUAUUUGUCGAUUUUUUCUUAAAUAUAAGACAUAUACUACCAAACACAUAUUUCGGAUACCACAUUUUCAAUGUAACACUAUCAAAUCAAUUGCUUGUUGUAUAAUCUAUUAUUUACCAAGAUAUAUUGAUGAUAAUUGAAUCAAAUAGUGAUGAAUAAUUUAAGGAUUCAAUUAAAAUUAAAUUAGAUUAGUUUUAACAUAACUUUAUUGCGUUGGAGAUGCUCCUUGAAUAUAACAAGGGAAAAUGUUCCAUUUCUAAUGUUGGUAAAAUAUAGUAUUAUUUUAAACAAGAAAUGAAUUCUUACACUUAACAAAAGAAAACUACCAAUCAAACUAGAAUGUAAAGAUAAAGAACUACAUUAAAAGUGCAAACUAUUAAUAUCUACCAUUAAAUUUUUGAAACUUUGUAUAAAAAUAUACAUAUAUAUAGGUGUAAUAAUAAAUUUGAAAUAGCUACUCCUAUAGUCGAUUUUGGUUAGGUCUUUUGUCGGUUUUUUCUAAUUAAAACCAAAACCAAACCAAAUUUAAUCGGUUUUUAAAUUCAAAACCAAAACCAAACCAAACCAAACCAAAAGU